UUAGUUAGGGUUUGCUUGGUUGGUUGUGGUCAGAUUUUGGUUUCUCAUGAAUUCUUCAACUGUGCCUGUCGCGAUUUUGGGCGGAAAUUGAUGAUUGAUUUCGGGGGCAAAAUCCGAGGGAUUUUGUGGAUGAAAGAUGGGGAAACUUGGGGAAACCAAGCAAAUCCAUGGAUCAAAAUAAACAAACUUCAUCAUGCCAACAAAUCACAAAAAAAAUUUGGUGGGGAAAUUUCGAAUUAGGACGAAAAACAACAAGAUCAAAGCUAGAAAACGAAUAUUAAUUUGGAUGGAAUUCAUGCUAUGUUGUUCGAUUUCAGUUUAUGCCUGCCAGAAUGUUUUAAUUUUUUGUUUUAUCAACUGUGUUGGAGCGUACUAGAUUUUUUGUUGCAUAUUCAUCUUCUUGCUCUGUUUGGAUAGGUAACAAUUAAUAUUUGGGAUCCUAAAAUAUGUAUGCACUGGCAGCACUUAACCUGCAGCUGCUGAUUAAUGUUGUAGUCAUAUGUGCUGCUUUCCAGCUCUCUUGUUUGGAUAGGUAUUUGGUUAUCGUUUGGGUUUAUUUAUUAUCGUUUGUAAAUGCUGGUUUGGUUUUCUGUGCUCACUAUGCCCUUGCACAUGGGAUGCAAUUUUUUUAUUUCCCUGCUGUUUAGUUUAUUGUUUCCUUUGAUGGUGAGGCAUUAAUUCUGGAGAUAGAUGCAAUUUUCUUGCUCACACAAUAAUACAAUGAAUGAUGGCAUCUCUAUCUACUUUGAACCAAAUUAUAUUAUAUUCCCCCCUCUGUUAAUUAUUUUUCUGUUUUGGGUAUUCAUUCAUUUUGUUUAGUUGCCUAUCAGUAUAAAUACAUGGCUGGAUUGCUUUCACUUCAUAUUAAUAACUAUUCUGUCGCACAAUGCAAAUAUACAUAUGCUGUCCUAACUAAUUAAGUAGAAGCUUGGAUUGGUGCUGUAUGGUCUCUUCCUGACAUUAAAUCCUCCUCUGUUUGUGCUGUCUGUUUCUGCUGCUGCAGUCUUCUUCGCCGCCAAAAGGAAAAGAUGCUCUACAAAAUCCACUCCCAUGCCGAAAUCCAAGCCCUGCAGGCCCGCACCGAUGAGCUGGGCCACUCCAAUGAGCACAUGGAUGUGAAGCUUGUCUCUCUGGAGUCGGUGCGCAUAGCGCGCGAGUCGUAUGCACUCCUCCGCCCGCUGAUCAUGGAGUCGAGGUCCUGGGAAUGCCCGGAGCUGGAUUCCCUCUCGGACGUGGCAGGCUUGUCGCUGGAAAUCCAAAAGCUCGAGCAUGAUGUGUUACCCCAGCUCACGGUUCAGGAGGCUAAGCUGGAACGGGGUGCCCUGGAAGCCCUCCUACUCAUGAAGAGCUCAGCAGCUAAGCUCUUACAUAUGAGUAAGUGCUUGAAGGAAGCCUUGGGCGUAUUGCUUGCCGAGGAUGUCAAAAAGCUGAGCAUAGUGCUAAGCGAUACUGCUGUUCAUGUACUCAAAGGUAAGUUCAACAGUGGCUUGCUUCAGGAGCGUGUCCCGUGGCUGGUCGAGCUGGUCACCGAUGUGUUGGAGACCCCGGUUCGUUUCUGUGAUACUCGUAAGCGUAAGUAUUCUGAUGAGUAGACUUAUCAGCCAGCUCGAGGCUGUUGUGAUAAAUAUUUCUUAGGGGCGUGGCAAACAGUUUAGAAUCAACCCUUUAUGUUUGGAUGUGUUAUUAAUGGAUUUUAAAUAAUAUGUAUCUUGGGUAGUGUUUUCUCAUUCUGUGCUAGUCGGGUACAACUUGCAAUUACUUUCAGUUUUUUUUUUGAGAAAUACAGUCACAUGGAGGUAUUCGCUCUUUUUGGGAAUAUAUGCCAAAAGAAUAUACUCCCUCCGUUCCUAAAUAUUUGCCUUUUUAAGGUUUCAAAUAGACUACCACAUACGGAUGUAUAUAGACAUGUUUUAAAGUGUAGAUUCACUCAUUUUGGUCCGUAUGUAGUCAUUUGUUGAAAUCUCUAGAAAGACAAAUAUUUAGGAACGGAGGGAGUAGUAUCUUAGAAAAGAAAUCCCAAAUAUAAGUCUUUUAAGAGGUUUCACUAAAAGACUACAUACGGAUGAAUAUAGGCAUACUUUAGAACGUGGAUGGAUUCACUCAUUUUGCUCCGUAUAUAGUUUUCUACUAGUGAAAUUUCUUAAAAGACAUAUAUUUAGGAACGGAGGGAUCUGUGAGUGUCCAUGAUUAAAGCUUUGCAAAUACCAUAAACAAAACAUCACCUUGUACAUAUAAAGUGAUGAUUAUUUUUACACUAACCGGUUUGGCAAGUGUUAGAGUUUAAUUAACGUGUGUUAAUUAUGGGGUAAAUCUCUCCUUGUAACUGCCAUCUCUCCCGGAUGCCUCUUCAUCGCAUCCCUUCUCCUUGUAUAAAUGCUUACAAUCAUCUAAUGAAAGGGAUAGAGGAUUCACUUUUCUCUCAACACGUUAUCAGCACGCUCUGGCGAGAGCAGAAGGCCACGAGAGAUUAGGCCAUCCCGGCGGUUACGGAUGUUACUUUCGUCGCCGAUGGCUUACAGGCGAUGCAACCGGAAGCGGUUCCAUUGAGCGCUCGCGGCGAGACAUCUUCCGGUGACGAGGCGAUGGAGCCCAGGUGCCGGCGCUCGACCGCAGCGUCCUCCAGCGCAUGGUUUGGUCUCACCCUCUCCUUCCCCUUCUCCCAGACGCCGUCCACAGUGGCCGCAUAAGCGGCCCUCUCCGGCACGGCCUACCGCGGCGCAUCUGCGACCCCGGCCUGCUACGCAAGGCACGGCGGCGUGGCAAGCGCCUCCCGACCGGAGACUCGACGCCUAUUGCGGGGAACAACCCGGCCUCGACCUCCCGGCGCGCGGAGCCCACAGCGGAUCGCAGAUCCUCGACAGCGGCGCACCCGCAUCUUCUACGUCGAAGACGGGCGAUGGAGGCGAGGCAGCCAGCGCCCGACGCGGCUCCCGGCAUCCACGUGGAGUUCCUGCAGCCACGGUCCUACCCGUGGUGAAGAUGGAGCGGGCUCUCCCUUCAGCUGACUGUGUGCAGCCCGCCCCCGAUGGUCGGCACAGGCCUCCUCCGGCGCGGCGAGGCCCAGAGUGCGAACGGUGUCGUUUCCACCGCCAGACUACGGCGGUGGCGACCCUCGACCUGCGCUCCUUCCUCCGGCCGGCUGGUGCGCGGCUACGCGGAGCGGGACGUCGAGUACGGCCUCGGCCCGGUCCUUCUCGCGUAGCCAUGGCCCUGCCCCUCGGCCUAGGUUGACGCGGACCUCCAUGGCACGCGGCGCGGUGCCCGUGGCGUCGUUCAGCGUACGCCGACGAACUCCGGUGCGAGGCAACUCAGCACCGCGCGCGAGGCGAAGGCAUCCAUGACUGGAUCUCCCGGAAGCGGCGGCGAUGGCUUCUGUGUAAAGCUAACCGAAUCGAUUGAUUCGUGUACUAAUUACAGGCCAACACAGGACAACGAUGGGAACCUUAUCUCUUUGAUGAAGGGUUUUUUUCACAAGUGGCUAUGUAUUUGCAUUGACCAUCAAAUCAGGCCACAGGCUGUGCAUUGGAGACCGUCAGAUAUCUCCAUAUCACAUUUACAAUAUAUGUAAAUGAUGAUUUCAGAUAUACUAUGUGAAAAUGGGACAUGUUCAUCGUAUUUGCUCUCUAUCAAUUCCUUUCAAAUAAUUCAGAUCUUAAGUUGAUGUAAUAUAUUUCCACGUUUACCACGUGUUGAGAUUAAUUACGUUCAUUUGCAAUUGAGAUUUCUCAUCUCUUGCAAAGAUAAAUUCAAUACCUCUGCAGUAUUGUUUCUCCGUUGAGUACGAUGUAUUCCGGAAUAUUUAAAACUAUGAUUGCGAUUGAGAUUAAGUUUUCUCGCACAACAAUAUUGAUUUGCGAUUGAGAAUUUUUUUUCUCGCAAAAUAAUUGCGGUUGAGAUCAAUUUUCUCUUGCAAAAUAUUAAUUCACUUCGCUGAAUUAUCUUGCAAUUUGAUACAAGAUCUCAUUUAAUUUGAGAUCUAUACAAUUCAAGUUUUUCACUUGAACAUCAAGUUUGCAACAUCAUUACUAUUCAUUAUAAUAGUGGUGUAGUUCUGUUGAGUACGAUGUAUUCCGGAAUGUAUGUAUCUCCAUGUUCACUAUAUGUUGAGAUUAAUACGUCUAUUUGCAAUUGAGAUUUUCAAUUUCUUGCAAAUACAUAUGCAAAAUUCAAGGUGAUUUCUUCAAAUUGAUGCUUUUUUUGGGAUCACAAGGUAGUCAUAUGGAUCUACUGCCUACGCAGAUUAUCAAUGACUACUGAUAAAGCCUAUAUUUUGUCGUUUCGACAUUAUGAUUGCUUCACAAAGUGCUCUCCCACCCAUUUUACUAAGUUAUGAAGUAAGGCAUCAUGAGUGAGUAUCUACUGAUUUCAUCAGGUUAUACUCCCUAUGCUGCAGAUCUACUUCAUUUUGGAGAUUAUCUUCAAGAUGUCAUACUUAGCAAUUUGAGAUUGACACUAAUGGUUUCAAGAUAACUUCUUGAAAUACCCAUUGAUUUUGCUAAGUUGAUUACAACAUCAACCACGAUGAUCUUUAAUUUACUGCUGUAAAUUAAUUAUCUUUGGUUUACCCAUAGAGGUAACACAUGGCUAUAGAGUUUGAGGCAUUCACCCUCAAUGGCCACCACUGCCCUAUCUGGGCCAUGGAUAUCAUGAUCGCUCUUGUGUCUCAUGGGAUAAUGUGUGCAAUAGUGUCUUAUAUAUCAUAAGGCAUUAGAUUCAGAUCUCAGCAUCUGCUUAUUCUGAAUCAACAAUUCCUGGAAUACAAUGAACCCCAAGGGCAAAUGUUUGAAUCUUACUUCAACCUUCAAUCCGACAUCACCAGCUGUGACGGAACCCUAUGGGCACAGAGAGUGUGAUGGUUGAAUAUGCCUCAAUCGGCAUGUUUGGAGACUAUGAAUAGUAUCUCAAUCUCCUGAGUGAUCAAUAUAAUUUAUGUCCAUUUACAAUGUUGCAACAUAAGUAUUGUUGUCAUCAUAUAUUGUAUAUCACAAUAUAUUGUAUCAGCACUUUGAUACAAAUACAUUUGUAUGCAUUCUAUAUAUUUGACAGUGAUUUUCAUAUUGAGAAUCUUCAUGUCUAUAUAUAGUUUUCUACGGGAGUCAAUCCGAUGAAAAAUGAUAUGUGCCUUGUGGACAUAUGCACCACAAACUUUAUACUCAGGGAAGCCCAAUGUUUCCACUCUCUUGAGAGAAAGGAGAUAUUUAAAUCGCUAGACGCGAUGAGGUAUUUGUUGGCUCAACUCGAGUCAUAUUUACUAUCCCUGUGGGUACUCGAGUAAUGUCGGGAUGCUUUAUUGCUUCCCAGGUUUAACUCGUACCCUACUAAACUAUGAAGGUAUCCGUCAAAAUAGUUUCCAUAGCGAAACUUAUUAUGACAACAAAGAGAAAUAACUUCUCUUUACCAUAUGCAACGGAUAUGGCAAAUACAUUCUCUGUGUAUCAUCUGGAUUGUACUACACAUACGACACAACCCGUACCACAUGUCGUGUACGUGAUAGUUUUCCAGAGUGUCUUGUACAUGACAUACUUGGCAUACUGGCCUUGGUCAUCGAGACAUUGGGUUGAAACCGAAACUAUCAGCAAUUCCAAUAGUUUACAAUUAUUAUGAUGCCAAAUUCUAACAACAUUUGGAUUUUAUGUGCACUACAAGUGACACAGGGAAGCUAAUUUUAAGGAUCGCACACCUUAAAGUCUACGCUGAACCACUCAGACUCCUUGAAUGCAUCAAGUUGAGGAAACCAUUGGCUCAUUAUCCUGACAUCGAUUUCAAGCAAAUCGAAUGGAUAACAUUGCAACAUUCUCCUUGAGUGCCUUCUCUAUGGCCCUUGGAUUGAAGUUUAGCAAUUUGUCCUAAUGUCUAGACUCCAAAUGGUUUGGUAGAAUCCUAUCCAAAUAGUUAAGCUCAUUACAUUAUCUUUACUUUGGAAUUGCAACUUACCAACUUUACGUUGGAGUCAUGCAGUUUUACACGCUCAUGACAGAACUGCAUAAUAUUAUUCCCCUCUAUCUUUGAUAUGUGGAUAUCUACCAAGUAUUUCCUAUCUGCGGUAAUUCGGUUGCAUACCGAUAUCACCACCCGGCAUACAUCAUUGGCCCCUCAACAUAUAGUUGGGAUCUAUGUGAGGAAUAACUGUAUUUCCGUCAAUACCUCAAGCCCCUCGCAUGGGGAGUUAUUCAAGGCCUGUAUGCUGAUUCAAUGAGGAACAUUUCCAGGCAUUAGGGGGAGAUUUCAAGUACCAUAAAGAAUGCCAGGAAAUUAGUGGAAUGUUCAACACAUUUCUGCCUCAAAUCCACAUACUCAAAGAUCUGAACCAUGCGUUCAGAAGAUUUGCAACACAUUGCAAAUAACCUGCCAGAUUCAUUUACUGACUAUAAAGGUGUCACACAAUCCUACAAUCCUGAAAAAUAUGUCCGAAAGAGUGGAGGUACCAACUAAAACCACUCAACUCCCCGUUCAAAGCAACGGGGGGAGAAGUACGGCAAUAGUACAUCAGGAUUCAGCUUCUCGCAAGCAAGGAUAUCAAGGCCUGUGAAUCAGUAAAUGCAAGUCAACUUCACGUUGACAGACACCUGAUGGGUAGUAUACACCUAGUGGACGGGAAACCUCCACCAACCCAGGUCAUAGUGCACACAAUGACCGGGACAUCGGAAUACCCGACUCAAUCGCAUUGGGAAAUCGCGAGCAGUCACCAUGGGUAACAAUAUUUCCAUCAACUAUAUAUUGAUAUAUAGAUUCUGGAGAAACAUACAACUGGAAGUCUACAAUUGUCGACGUACAUUUCUCAACUAGAUUGCAAAAACCUUUUCAAAUGAUUCAGAUCCAAAGACCAUGGCCAUGGCAAAGUGUGAACAACACUCGGACUGAACUCAAGCAAAGGGUAUAAUCUAGGUAGAAAUGAUCUUGCUCAGUAAUGGCAAGGUAUUCAUAAGCAAUACCUACACCCGUUUUCUUCUGGAAACGGAAUUGAGAACAACAAGGUGGUGAACAGGGAGCAAGUAUUGUAGCACAAGGGUUCACGCAGAUACCCAACUAUUCUCCAGAGGUGGAAUCUCUUUCCGAUAACUUGUAUCAUUGGCAGUACAAAAUCAUCUAUCUCUGCAGUUGAUAGAUGUAGUGAUUACAUAUCCAUGUGGAUCACUAGAUUCAGUGAAUAUGGUUGAUCCCGGAUGGAAUCUCAAUUCUGAAUCGAAAUACAAAAUGCAAACAUGCAUUGUGCAAAUUUAGUAAGUCACCAUACGACUUAUUAUUGUCAGUACAUAUGGUACAACUGACGUAGUGAGAUCCUUAUACACAAGGAUUACUCAUACAAUGAUGAUUAUCCAUGUUUGUGUGUCUGCAAUGACGACACUUGUAAUCAUCUAAAUGGCGGAGUUUAAAAUGAAGGAUUUGGGUAAACCAAAAUACCGCUCGUUACUACAACUUGAGCGCCUUCAUUCAUACAUUAUGGUAUACUAUGUUGUCUAUAUCCAAAAUAUAUUGGAGAAAUUCAUUGUGGACAAAUCUUAUCCAUCCAUAACUCUCAUGGUAGUUCAUUCUCUAGACGUAGAGAAAUAUCUAUUUAGACCAAGAGAUGAUGGAAAUGAGAUAUUGGGACUCAACGUUCCAUAAUGCCAUUGGAUCCACCAAAUAUAAUUGGUUGGUACUCAAGAAUAUCUUUCGAUAUCUCCAAGGCAUCAAACAUCUUGUCCUGGUUUUCAGUUUCACAGGAAUGUGAACACCGAUAUCAUUGGAUACAUCGAUCAGAUCCCCACUAUGUCAGAUCAUAGACAAGCUUAGUGUUCCUACUAGGUGUGGUAGCCCUCUCAUGAAGAGUCUUCGAAACGGACCUUAUGGCUACAUCCACCAACCAUUAUCUCAACGAUAAUGUUUCUUGUGUUGCCCGGAUGCAAACAGGUUACAUAAUAAGUAAUAUCACUAUAUUGCAUAUCUUGCAAGUCAAAUCAGCGACUGAUUUGUUCAGCGAGUCUCUACCAAUUUCUAUGUUUUGGUAUGUGACGACUUUGAAUUUUUGCAAGAAUCAGGGGGAGUAUCUUCCUGAAUUGUUCCUGUUCAAUGCAUCAUAUUAUACUCUUUUUCCCUUCAUGAGUUUACUUUACAGAUUCUCAUAAAGGUUUUUAAUGAGGUAAUAUCAACAUGAGAUCAUAUGUCAUACUUUCUGUUUUCCCCACCGGGGUUUUUGGGAAAGUAUAUACGACAUAUUUAUUGUCCUCUGAACUCUAUGGGUUUUCUCGUAUUGAGUUAAAAGAGACAAUAACCAUUAUAUGUUGUAUCAUUUUCUCCUUAUUUUUCCCAUUGGGUUUGAAGGAGUUUUGGCAACAUAUCAAACACUAUACUCCUCAUAUUUUUCCCACAGGGUUUUUAGAGGAGCCUCUAAUCAAGAUGAUGAUUCUGGAUGAACAAGUGUAGAUUAGGGGGAGUGUUAGAGUUUAAUUAACAUGUGUUAAUUAUGGGGUAAAUCUCCCCUUGUAACUGCCAUCUCUCCCGAACGGAUGCCUCUUCAUCGCAUCCCUUCUCCUUGUAUAAAUGCUUACAAUCAUCUAAUGAAAGGGAUAGAGGAUUCACUUUUCUCUCAACAUCAAGUAGUACUUCCUCCGUAAAUAAAGAAACAUAAGAGUGUUUGGAUUAUCAUUUCUUUAGAGAGGGAGUAGUAUAUAUAUAGAAUUGAAUUAAUAAUCUCUACUCCUAAAGUAUCAGUUGGUCGUCUCUGUUCAUCGGUUAAUUUUCGUCCCACCAACACUGAUUUUUUUUCGUGCUCCCUCCCACCCAACCCCCGGGACAUCGAACAAAAAAAAGGGCUGGCUUAGCUAUGCCCCCACGAAGUCAAGGGGCCAAACCUCCGAUCGAAACAGAGAGAACCGGAUGAAAGAAAAUCUACGAAAAAAGACCUACGAAAUUAAACCAGCGAAAAAAACGAACCGCACGCAGGUAUACGAGCGAUUCCUCCUUCCUUCGAACCACUCGCAUGCUCGAUCCCUUCGUCGCCGCCGCUCCAUCCCUUCGCCCCCACCGCUCGAUCCCUUCGCCGCCGCCCUCGCACAUCAAAGCCGCCACCGAUAUGCCCUGUCGGAUCUCGCCUCAACCCCGCCGUCUUGUGAUACGGAGUUCACAGCCUCUGCCGCCGAUGUCUUCGCACGCGUUAGGGUUCCUGCGUCGCCGCCACACAGGAGCUCGUCGACCAGCCCAGCGUGCUGCUGCUCCGCGCUCGCUUCCCUCGUCGGUCGCCUUUGGAACCCUCGCUUCGGACUCCGCGCCAAGCCGUCGCCUCUUCGCCGAGAAAGAGGGCUCCCGAUCUCCGCCGUGGUCGACCAUCAGCGCGACGGGCAGAGCAACCAGCCCGUAGGCUCAUCCCCUUCUUGGAUCCACUCCGGCAGCGGCCAUCGUUGGUACGUUCCGCUCGUGAUAUAUUGGUGUAGGAUCAUCCCCUUCUCUUUAUCUAAAAAGGCUAUUCUACAUACGCCGAGGAGAAGAUGCUCACCUUCUCGCCCCUGUUGGAAAUAUGCCCUAGAGGCAAUAAUGAAUUGCUUAUUAUUAUAUUUCCUUGUUCAUGAUAAUCGUUUAUUGUCCAUGCUAUAAUUGUAUUGAUAGGAAACAUAGAUACAUGUGUGGAUACAUAGACAACACCAUGUCCCUAGUAAGCCUCUAGUUGACUAGCUCGUUGAUCAAUAGAUGGUUACGGUUUCCUGACCAUGGACAUUGGAUGUCGUUGAUAACGGGAUCACAUCAUUAGGAGAAUCAUGUGAUGGACAAGACCCAAUCAUAAGCCUAGCACAAAGAUCGUGUAGUUCGUAUGCUAAAGCUUUUCUAAUGUCAAGUAUCAUUUCCUUAGACCAUGAGAUUGUGCAACUCCCGGAUACCGUAGGAAUGCUUUGGAUGUGCCAAACGUCACAACAUAACUGGGUGGCUAUAAAGGUACACUACGGGUAUCUCCGAAAGUGUCUGUUGGGUUGGCACGAAUCGAGACUGGGAUUUGUCACUCCGUGUGACGGAGAGGUAUCUCUGGGCCCACUCGGUAGGACAUCAUCAUAUGCGCAAUGUGACCAAGGAGUUGAUCACGGGAUGAUGUGUUACGAAACAAGUAAAGAGACUUGCCUGUAACGAGAUUGAACAAGGUAUCGGAUACCGACGAUCGAAUCUCGGGCAAGUACAAUACCGCUAGACAAAGGGAAUUGAAUACGGGAUUGAUUAAAUCCUCGACAUCGUGGUUCAUCCGAUGAGAUCAUCGUGUAACAUGUGGGAGCCAACAUGGGUAUCCAGAUCCCGUUGUUGGUUAUUGACCGGAGAACGUCUCGGUCAUGUCUGCAUGAUUCCCGAACCCGUAGGGUCUACAUACUUAAGGUUCGAUGACGCUAGGGUUAUAAAGGAAGUUUGUAUGUGGUUACCGAAUGUUGUUCGGAGUCCCGGAUGAGAUCCCGGAUGUCACGAGGAGUUCCGGAAUGGUCCGGAGGUAAAGAUUUAUAUAUGGGAAGUCCUGUUUUGGUCACCGGAAAAGUUUCGGGUUUUAUCGGUAACGUACCGGGACCACCGGGAGGGUCCUGGGGGUCCACCAAGUGGGGCCACAAGCCCCGAAGGGUUGCAUGGGCCAAGUAUGGGAGGGGACCAGCCCCAGGUGGGCUGGUGCGCCCCCCACAAGGGCCCAAGGCACCUAAGGAGAGGAGAGGGGGCAAACCCUAAGGGCAGAUGGGCCUUAGGGCCCAUACCUGGUGCGCCUCCCUCUCCCCCUCCACCUGGCCGCCACCCAGAUGGGAUUGGGGCUGGCCGCCGCCCCUAGGGUGGAACCCUAGAGGGGGCACAGCCCCCUCCCUCUCCCCUAUAUAUAGAUGAGGUCUUUGGGGCUGCCAACACAAGAGUUUUGACCUCUCCCUGGCGCAGCCCUGCAUCUCUCUUUCCUACUCUCCCGCGGUGCUUGGCGAAGCCCUGCAGGAUUGCCACGCUCCUCCUCCACCACCAGGCCGUUGUGCUGCUGUUGGAUGGACUCUUCCUCAACCUCUCCCUCUCUCCUUGCUGGAUCAAGGCGUGGGAGACGUCACCGGGCUGUACGUGUGUUGAACGCGGAGGUGCCGUCCGUUCGGCACUAGGAUCUCAGGUGAUUUGGAUCACGACGAGUACGACUCCUUCAAUCCCGUUCUCUUGAACGCUUCCGCUUAGCGAUCUACAAGGGUAUGUAGAUGCACUCUCCUUCCCCUCGUUGCUGGUUUCUCCAUAGAUAGAUCUUGGUGACACGUAGGAAAAUUUUGAAUUUCUGCUAUGUUCCCCAACAGUGGCAUCAUGAGCUAGGUCUAUUGCGUAGAUUCUUUGCACGAGUAGAACACAAAGUAGUUGUGGGCGUUGAUUUUGUUCAAUAUGCUUACCGUUACUAGUCCAAUCUUGAUUCGGCAGCAUUGUGGGAUGAAGCAGCCCGGACCGACCUUACACGUACACUUACGUGAGACAGGUUCCACCGACUGACAUGCACUAGUUGCAUAAGGUGGCUAGCGGGUGCCAGUCUCUCCCACUUUAGUCGGAUCGGAUUCGAUGAAAAGGGUCCUUAUGAAGGGUAAAUAGCAAUUGACAUAUCACGUUGUGGUUUUGCGUAGGUAAGAACCGUUCUUGCUAGAAACCCACAGCAGCCACGUAAAACAUGCAAACAACAAUUAGAGGACGUCUAACUUGUUUUUGCAGGGUAUGCCAUGUGAUGUGAUAUGGCCAAAAGGAUGUGAUGAAUGAUAUAUGUGAUGUAUGAGAUUGAUCAUGUUCUUGUAAUAGGAAUCACGACUUGCAUGUUGAUGAGUAUGACAACCGGCAGGAGCCAUAGGAGUUGUCUUAAUUUAUUUAUGACCUGCGUGUCAACAUAAACGUCAUGUAAUUACUUUACUUUAUUGCUAACCGUUAGCUAUAGUAGUAGAAGUAAUAGUUGGCGAGACAACUUCAUGAAGACACGAUGAUGGAGAUCAUGGUGUCAUGCCGGUGACGAUGAUGAUCAUGGAGCCCCGAAGAUGGAGAUCAAAAGAAGCAAAGUGAUGAUGGCCAUAUCAUGUCACUAUUUGAUUGCAUGUGAUGUUUAUCAUGUUUUUGCAUCUUAUUUGCUUAGAACGACGGUAGUAAAUAAGAUGAUCCCUCAUUAAACUUUCGAGAAAGUGUUCCCCCUAACUGUGCACCGUUGCGAAAGUUCGUCGUUUCAAAGCACCAUGUGAUGAUCGGGUGUGAUAGAUUCUAACGUUCACAUACAACGGGUGUAAGACAGAUUUACACACGCGAAACACUUAGGUUGACUUGACGAGCCUAGCAUGUACAGACAUGGCCUCGGAACACAAAAGACCGAAAGGUCGAGCAUGAGUCGUAUGGUAGAUACGAUCAACAUGAAGAUGUUCACCGAUGAUGACUAGUCCGUCUCAUGUGAUGAUCGGACACGGCCUAGUUGACUCGGAUCACGUAAUCACUUAGAUGACUAGAGGGAUGUCUAUCUGAGUGGGAGUUCAUAAGAUGAACUUAAUUAUCCUGAACAUAGUCAAAAGGACUUCGCAAAUUAUGUCAUAGCUCGCGCUUCAGUUCUACUGUUUAGAUACGUUCCUAGAGAAAAGAUAGUUGAAAGUUGAUAGUAGCAAUUAUACGGACUAGGUUCGUUAACUGAGGAUUGUCCUCGUUGCUUCGUAGAAGGCUCAUGUCCUUAAUGCACCGCUCAGUGUGCUGAACCUUGAACAUCGUCUGUGGGUGUUGCGAACAUCUAACAUACAUGUUUUGAUAACUACGUGAUAGUUCAGUUAAACGGUUUAGAGUUGAGGCACCAUAGACGAUUUCGAAACGUCGCGGAACAUAUGAGAUGUUUCGAGGGCUGAAAUUGGGAUUUCAGGCUCGUGCCCACGUCAAGAGGUAUAACACCUCCGACGAGUUUCUUAGCGUACAAACUAAGGGAGAAAAGCUCAAUCGUUGAGCUUGUGCUCAGAUUGUCUGAGUACCACAAUCACUUGGAUCGAGUGGGAGUUAAUCUUCCAGAUGAGAUAGUGAUGUUUUUCCAAAGACAUUAUCACCAAGCUGCUAGAGCUUCGUGAUGAACUAUAACAUAUCAGGGAUAGACAUGAUGAUCCUUGAAAUAUUCGCGAUGUUUGACACCGCGAAAGUAGAAAUCAAGAAGGAGCAUCAAUUGUUGAUGGUUAGUGAAACCACUAGUUUCAAGAAGGGCAAGGGCAAGAAGGGAUACUUCAUGAAACGGCAAAUCAGCUGCUGCUCUAGUGGAGAAACCCAAGGUUGAACCCAAACCCGAGACUAAGUGCUUCUGUAAUAAGAGGAACAGCCACUUGAGCAGAAUUACCCUAGAUACUUGGUAGAUGAGAAGGCUGUCGAUAGAAGUAUAUUGGAUAUACAUUAUGUUAAUGUGUACUUUACUAGUACUCCUAGUAGCACCAGGAUAUUAGAUACCGGUUCGGUUGCUAAGUGUUAGUAACUCGAAACAAAAGGCUACGGAAGAAACGGAGACUGGCUAAAAGGUGAGAUGACGAUAUGUGUUGGAAGUAUUUCCAAGGUUGAUCAAAUAUCGUACGCUCCCUCUACCAUCGAGAUUGGUAUUAAAACCUAAAUAAUUGUUAUUUUGUGUUUGUGUUGAGCAUAGACAUGAUUGGAUUAUGUCUAUCACAAUACGGGUAUUCAUUUAAGGAGAAUAAUUGUUACUCUGUUUAUUUGAAUAAUACCAUCCCAAUCGUAGUGAUACACAUUUUCAUGCCAAAGGUAUAAGAUAGUAAUGAUAGUACCACACAAUUGUGGCACUGCAAUUUUAGUCACAAUGGUAUAAAAUGCAUGAAGAAGCUCCAUGUUGAUGGAUCUUUGGACUCGCUUGAUUUUGAAUCACUUGAGACAUGCAAAUCAUACCACAUGAGCAAGAUGACUGAAAGGCCUCGUUUUCAGUAAGAUGGAACAAGAAAGCAACUUGUUGGAAGUAAUACAUCUUGAUGUGUGCAGUCCAAUGAGUGCUGAGGCAUGUAGUGAAUAUCGUUAUAUUCUUACUUCACAGAUGAUUUAAGUAGAUACUGAGUAUAUUUACUUGAUGAAACACAAGUCUGAAUUAUUGAAUGGUUCAAGUAAUUUCAGAGUGAAGUUGAAGAUCUUCGUGACAAGAGGAUAAAAUGUCUAUGAUAUGAUCAUAGAAAUGAAUAUCUGAGUUACGAGUUUGGCACACAAUUAAGACAUUGUGGAAAUUGUUUCACAACUAAUACCGCCUGGAACACCAUAGUGUGAUGGUGUGUCCGAACAUCAUAGUUGCACCCUAUUGGAUAUGGUGCGUACCAUGAUGUCUCUUAUCGAAUUACCACCAUCGUUCAUGGGUUAGGCAUUAGAGACAACCGCACUCACUUUAAUAGGGCACCACGUAAUUCUGCUGAGACGAAACCGUUUGAACUAUGGUUUGGAGAAACCUGAGUUAUCGUUUCUUAAAAGUUUGGGGCUGCGACGCCUAUGUGAAAAAGUUUCAGGUUGAUAAGCUCGAACCCAAAGCGGAUAAAAUGCAUCUUCAUAGGACACCAAAAACGGUUGGGUAUACCUCCUAAUUCAGAUCCGAAAGCAAUAGGGAUUGUUUCUAGAAUCGGGUCCUUUCUCGAGGAAAAGUUUCUCUCGAAAGAAUUGGGUGGGAGGAUGGUGGAGACUUGAUGAGGUUAUUGAACCGUCACUUCAACUAGUGUAUAGCAGGGCACAAAGAGUUGUUCCUGUGGCACCUACACCAAUUGAAGUAGAAGCUUAUGAUAUUGAUCAUGAGACUUCGGAUCAAGUCACUCCCAAACCUCGUAGGAUGACAAGGAUGCGUGCUAAUUUAGAGUGGUACGUAAUCCUGUCAUGGAAGUCAUGCUGCUAGACAACAAUGAACCUACGAGCUAUGGAGAAGCGAUGGUGGGCCCGGAUUCCGAUAAAUGGCUCGAGGCCAUAAAAUCCGAGAGAGGAUCCAUGUAUGAAAACAAAGUGUAGACUUUGGCAGAACGACUCGAUGGUCGUAAGGCUGUUGAGUACAGAUGGAUUUUAAAAGGAAGACAGACAAUGAUGGUAAGUGUUACCAUUGAGAAAGCUCGACUUGUCAUUAAUAUGUUUCCCGACAAGUUCAAGGAGUUGACUGCGAUGAGACUUUCUCACACGUAGCGAUGCUAAAAGUCUGUUGGAAUUAUGUUAGCAGUUACUGCAUUGUUUAUGAAAUCUUGCAGAUACGAUGUCAAAAUAUUGUUUCCUUGAUGAUUUUCUUGAGGAAAGGUUGUAUGUGAUACAACCAGAAGGUUUUGGCAGUCCUGAAAAUGCUAACAAGUAUGCAAAGCUCCAGCAAUCCUUCUAAGGACUGGAGUAAGCAUCUCGGAGUUGGAAUGUACGCUUUGAUGAGAUGAUCAAAGCUUUUGGGUUUAUACAAAGUUUAUGAGAAACUUGUAUUUCCAAAGAAGUGAGUGGGAGCACUAUAGAAUUUAUGAUGAGUAUAUGUUGUUGACAUAUUGUUGAUCGGAAAUGAUAUAGAAUUUCUGGAAAGCAUGCAGAGUUGUUUGAAAAGUGUUUUCAAUGAAAAACUGGAUUAGGCUACUUGAACAUUGAGCAUCAGGAUCUAUAAGGAUAGAUCAAAAACCGCUUAAUGGUACUUUCAAAUGAGCACAUACCUUGACAUGAUCUUGAAGGUGUUCAAGAUGGGUCAGCCAAAGAAGGAGUUCUUGCCUGAGUUGUAAGGUAUGAAGUUAAGACUUAAAGCUCGACCACAGCAGGAGAAAGAGGAUGGACGAAGGUCGUCCCCUAUGCUAUUGUCAUAGACUCUAUACGGUAUGCCAUGCUGAGUACCGCACCUGAUGUGUGCCUUGCCACAUGUCUGGCAAGAGGGUACAAAGGUGAUCUAGGAGUAGAUCACCAGAUAGCGGUCAAAAUUAUCCUUAGAGUAAUAAGGAUAUGUUUCUCGGUUAUGGAGGUGAUAAAGAGUUCGACGUAAAGAGUUACAUCGAUGCAAGCUUAACACCUAUCCGGAUAGCUCCGAGUAGAGAUACCGGAUACGUAUAAUGGAGCAACAGUUUGGAAUAGCUCCAAGUAGAACAGUUAUUUCAAAUGGCUCCAAAUAUAGCGUAGAGAUUUGCGAGGUACAUACGGAUCUGAAUGUUGCAGACCCGUUGACUAAAACCUCUCUCACAAGCAACAUGAUCAAACCUAGAACUCAUUGAGUGCUAAUCACAUAGUGAUGUGAACUAGAUUAUUGACUCUAGUAAACUCUUUGUAUGUUGGUCACAUGGCGAUGUGACCUGUGAGUGUUAAUCACAUGGAGAUGUGAACUAGAUUAUUAACUCUAGUGCAAGUGGGAGACUGUUGGAAAUAUGCCCUAGAGGCAAUAAUAAAUUGGUUAUUAUUAUAUUUCCUUGUUCAUGAUAAUCAUUUAUUAUCCAUGCUAUAAUUGUAUUGAUAGGAAACACAGAUACAUGUGUGGAUACAUAGACAACACCAUGGCCCUAGUAAGCCUCUUGUUGACUAGCUCGUUAAUCAAUAGAUGGUUACAGUUUCCUGACCAUGGACAUUGGAUGUCGUUGAUAACGGGAUCACAUCAUUAGGAGAAUCAUGUGAUGGACAAGACCCAAUCAUAAGGCUAGCACAAAGAUCGUGUAGUUCGUAUGCUAAAGCUUUUCUCAUGUCAAGUAUCAUUUCCUUAGACCAUGAGAUCGUACAACUCCCGGAUACCGUAGGAAUGCUUUGGGUGUGCCAAACGUCACAACGUAACUGGGUGGCUAUAAAGGUACACUACGGGUAUCUCCGAAAGUGUCUGUUGGGUUGGCACGAAUCGAGACUGGGAUUUGUCACUCCGUGUGAUGGAGAGGUAUCUCUGGGCCCACUCGGUAGGACAUCAUCAUAUGCACAAUGUGACCAAGGAGUUGAUCACGGGAUGAUGUGUUACGAAACAAGUAAAGAGACUUGCCGGUAACGAGAUUGAACAAGGUAUCAGAUACCGACGAUCGAAUCUCGGGAAAGUACAAUACCGCUAGACAAAGGGAAUUGAAUACGGGAUUGAUUAAAUCCUCGACAUCGUGGUUCAUCCGAUGAGAUCAUCGUGGAACAUGUGGGAGCCAACAUGGGUAUCCAGAUCCCACUGUUGGUUAUUGACCGGAGAACGUCUCGGUCAUGUCUGCAUGAUUCCCGAACCCGUAGGGUAUACACACUUAAGGUUCGAUGACGCUAGGGUUAUAAAGGAAGUUUGUAUGUGGUUACCGAAUGUUGUUCGGAGUCCCGGAUGAGAUCUCGGACGUCACGAGGAGUUCCGGAAUGGUCCGGAGGUAAAGAUUUAUAUAUGGGAAGUCCUGUUCUGGUCACCGGAAAAGUUUCGACUUUUAUCGGUAACGUACCGGGACCACCGGGAGGGUCCCGGGGGUCCAUCAAGUGGGGCCACAAGCCCCGAAGGGUUGCAUGGGCCAAGUAUGGGAGGGGACCAGCCCCAGGUGGGCUGGUGCGCCCCCCCACAAGGGCCCAAGGCGCCUAAGGAGAGGAGAGGGGGCAAACCCUAAGGGCAGAUGGGCCUUAGGGCCCAUACCUGGUGCGCCUCCCUCUCCCCCUCCACCUGGCCGCCACCCAGAUGGGAUUGGGGCUGGCCACCGCCCCUAGGGUGGAACCCUAGAGGGGGCGCAGCCCCCUCCCUCUCCCCUAUAUAUAGUUGAGGUCUUUGGGGCUGCCAACACAAGAGUUUUGACCUCUCCCUGGCGCAGCCCUGCAUCUCUCUUUCCUCCUCUCCCGCGGUGCUUGACGAAGCCCUGCAGGAUUGCCACGCUCCUCCACCACCACCACGCCGUCGUGCUGCUGUUGGAUGGACUCUUCCUCAACCUCUCCCUCUCUCCUUGCUGGAUCAAGGCGUGGGAGACGUCACCGGGCUGUACGUGUGUUGAACGUGGAGGUGCCGUCCGUUCGGCACUAGGAUCUCAGGUGAUUUGGAUCACGACGAGUACGACUCCUUCAACCCCGUUCUCUUGAACGCUUCCGCUUAGCGAUCUACAAGGGUAUGUAGAUGCACUCUCCUUCCCCUCGUUGCUGGUUUCUCCAUAGAUAGAUCUUGGUGACACGUAGGAAAAUUUUGAAUUUCUGCUAUGUUCCCCAACAGCCCCUCCCCCUACCGUGAUGUACGUGGAUGAAUCCGACGGCAACAAGGACGACCUCGUAGGAUCCAGCCACGGUUGUGCGGAAUUUCACGGGGAUGAAUCUACCCGGCCUCUCGUCCUAUCUGCCGCCGGUAGAGGCAUCCAUGUCUGAUGGUGUGAAUUUUGGCUGGUUCCAUGAGCACUUCGUUCCCUGCCGUGUAGUCUUCGUUGAUUCGGAAAGAUGGUGGUUGUCUGUUUAGCCAUUUCAAUCUGCUAUUGAUCAUGCUCAUUCUUGUUAUAUUCAGUUAUAUUGGAAACACCAUCUGAUUCAGUUAUAUUCUUGAUCAUGCUCAUCCUCAUCCUUAUUCAAAUAAGAAUACUUCUGUUUGGAGAGCUCGGGCGUCAGCUGUGUGGAAGCACCAGCUGAUUUGUAACUGGUCGGAAGGUGAGCUUCUCAUACUCGCUGCCGUCGAAGCACGACACCUCGCCGCCACUUAUGUUGCGUGUUGUUGUGCUGUAGGUCCUUGGGGUUGGGUGUGGCAACUCGCGACUCGAAGACAUUUCGUGCAUGUGCUCCCCUGCGCUUGGUGACCAAUACAUCUACUCCGUCGUGAACAUGUGCUUCGUGUCAUACAGGUCGCCGCCAAGGGUGAGCUCGUGCAGCGGUACAGGUAUAGAUGUGCAUCCCAUAAGGGCAGCUACAUUUUCUUUCAUAAAGUUAUUUGUGUGAGUGCCCUGCAUAUUGAAGUAAACUGGAUCGGCUAAUCUUGAGUUCCUCCACCAAGUUAUAUUACUUCGACAAGAAAAAGUGCAGAAAGACCAUAUAAAGUACUCUGGUGACUCUCUCAAUUGAACUAGAAUUUUUUUAGAUGCGUGAAACAUGCACAACGAUUUGCUCUAUUGAGUCUAUGUAUGUUGAACUAGCACUCGAAUUAUAGCUCAUGCCGGUAUACUAAUUUUCUCUUUCUCAUAUCAGCUCUCCUUCUUUUUGUCCAUUUUUCUUCACUACUACCUGAAGGAAACUGUACUGGAUAGCAGCCUAUCAUAUAUAGUUACAUGUACCGAGUGAUUUAGCUUCAUUUUAAUGAUACUGUCAACAACUAACUACUGCUGCGACAUAUUUGAUGCAACCUGUAAAAUAUUUUUUGUUUAAUUUCAGCAUAUCAUUUAUAUACUGAAGUCUCUUCUGGACAUGUUGUCUAAUUGCGUCAUGUAUGUUAGAUAUUUGUUCUAUAAUACUUGCCAUUGACUAUUUUUCUUUUAUUUAGGUUAUGUGCAUUAUUGAUCAGCCAAUCUUGAGAGAGAGAUGGGUUGGCGUGAAUGGGAAGAAAACUACAUUGAAUGGACAAGAAGUAUGCCCUCAACUUUUUCAUGGUAUGUCUUACUUAUUGUUCUUGUGAUUUUUCCAUCAGUUUCACUUUACAUUUCUUCUUUGCUUUUUCAUGGCAUCGGGAUGCCCACUGCCGACGGCGCUGCGUUGCUACCAAAGGGGCACCCUGCCGCGGCCAGGGACUCGCUGCCGUCGAAGCACGACACCUUGCCGUCACGUAUGUUGGGUGUUGUGGUGCUGCAGGUCCUUGGGGUUGGGUGCGGCAACUCGAGACUCGAAGACGAUCUUCUGCGGUAGGGCGUCGCCGGCGGCGGUGGCACCUGUAUAGACCGUCUCGGUGUGACAGAAGAGUUCGGAGUUCACUCCGAGAAAGAAUUGCUUUGCAUGUACAUUUGCUGAAAGACUGAUGUGCUGAACUUUCGAUGAUUUCGAUUGGUCUCUAACAUAACCUUUCCUCUUUUUGUUGAUAUGUCCAAAAGAGAUCCUUAUUUCACCUUUUGUUUAUAGGUAUUCAACUUGAGGAAUUUCAUACUUUUGGAGUGGAGCUAUCAAAUAUAUGUGUGCUCGAUGUUGGUGUUUUAAUCCGGAUCUCUCGCUGAAGGUGCUCGAUGUUGGUGUUUGAAUACUGCUACCGUACUUCAAGGUCUGUAGCAGCUCUUACAAUGGAUUCUUUUUAAUGAUAGUACAAUUUAUUUUUGUUUCGAUUUGGUAUUGUUGUUUUGUUCACUUAACCCAGUCUGUAGCAGCAGCUUUUCAUGUCGUUUCCUCGCCAACAAAUGUCAUAAUUUAUCACAUACGUGUGCAAAUGGUUUUUUGGCUAUAGUAUGAGUAUAUGGUUCAGAGAAGUUCGGUCAGAUGCAAAGCAUGCUUAGCAUCUCAUAGUCGUAGGCUAUUCCUUUUAAAAUUGAAGCCAUCCAGGUUUUCAAUUAUGGAGAUGAUUUGGAAACUCAGCAUAGAAAAUUAUUUACUCUAAUGCAAAUUACACAUAUUAAGGCCUUUAUUCUUUUAUAUUAAGGUCUCCAGUGCAAGCAUUAGCCCAUCUUUAGCUGCUCAUAAGCAGUAUCAGUGAUAUAUAUAUAUAUAUAAGUACACUCUUGCUAAGAUUAAUCUUUGAUAUAUAUAAUUCAUUGCCUGGAUAUAGUUUGCUUUGAAUGUUUUUUUGCUCUUUAGUCUAUGAAGAAUUGCAAGGAGGAGGAUAAUAGAGCAGCAACCAGAGCUGACAAUUGGCCUGUAAAUGCUGCAAAGUUCUCCUAAAGGUGUGAUGUUGGUGGUGAUUUUCUUAUCCGGGGAUAUGGAUGUGGCGGGUCUGUGGGCACCAUGCUGACGCGGAGAAGGAGGUGCAGGUAGCGGGGGCGCUUGAGGUGAGGUGGCUGCAGGGUCGCUCGAGAAGAAUAGGCUCAUCAGCAACACCUGGAUGCCUUCGUCAUCAGCAAUGUGGACAAGGUGCAAAAGGGAUAUCGCCCUUACCUCUUAUUCAGUCUGGAAAAUUAUGCAAUGUUUGGUUUGGUAGAUUUAACAGUCGCUGGUUCGGAAAUUUGUUACCUAUAGAAGUAUAGGAAUAACAUGACUAAUAUUUAUUGAAUUUAUAGAGUUAUUGUUUUUUUCUACAAAGUCAGUUGUUAAAUUAGGAAGAACAUCGUCUAAAAUCUUGACAACAUAAAGGAGCAUAGAGUUAAUAGAUUAUGAAAUCCUGUAGUGCAUCAGAUGCACCCUUCACUAAUUUUUGAACACAUUUAUAUUAUCCAGGUUCCGACCUCAUUCGUUGUGAUGUUUGUCUUUUUUAUGUGGGCGAGGAAAACAUUUUUAGGAGUGAUACUCCCAAACUUUGAUUUCUUGGUUGUCGAAUCAUGGUGCUGAUUAGAUUUUACUUAACCUUAAUUAAUCUAUUUAUAUUGUGGCUUUGUCUUUUAGCUCAUCUUUUAGUUUCUCUUCUCCACUUAACACAAGAUUUUAUUGUAGGCUACCAAGUACAAUUAUACCACUUAUACUCUUUCUAUCUGAUUAUGCAAAGCUUGAUCUAUACUCAUUGAACUUUGUUAGAUAGUAGGCCCUCCUAUUAGUGUGCCUAAAUAUAAUUGUUUCUCUGUGUUUAUAGUAUCUUAGUCCAGUAGAAUGAAUGUUCUCGAGUAAUUAGAGGUAUUUGGAUCAAGUGAAUGUCUGAAUACCACUAAAAUCGAAAUCAUAAUGCUUAUCAUUGGUCAGCACCACCACCUACUCUGAAUCUCUGAUCAGAAUAGUACGAACUAUUAAAUUGGGAACUUAAUGCUUAUCAUUGUUGAUGUACAUAUGUACAACUAACAAUGUUUGUGCUGCAACCAGCUUACUUUAUUCCUUGCUGAAAUUUAUCUUGACUUAUUUCACAUCAGAUAGUUCUGAACCUAGAUGAUCUCAAUUAAGGUCAUUGAAAUUUGUUAAAUUAUUUUUAUCCACUCUUCUGAACGAGCGUAUACUAUGAUCUGAUUUGUAUAUCAUAUUACUGAGGCAGCGCUGGGCCAUGCUGUGGUGAGAACAUACGAGAGAUAAUUGGGGUGUGUGGCUGAUUGCUUCAUAUGCUGCUAAUGAUAUAUGUAGACUGCUGAUUGCUCCUGAUAUACAGUGUCGAUUGCAGCUGAUAGUAGGAUUGUACUCAAUUUGAUAGGUAAAGUGGGAUGGCGGGAUUGUAUAGUGCUCAUAAGCCAGUCCGGGCAUUGUCCUUCCUCGAAUGAAUAUGAGACUACUCCUCAUAUGUUAAUCAGUUGCUCCUCCCUAGCUUUGGUUUGGUCUGAACUUCAAAGUUUUCAUCCACUCAAUGUUGAUUCAGUCAAAGAUCUCUUGGAAAAAUUAUUUCGACAAGAUUCACUCUAUAAUGUUGUUAUCAUUGUCCUCUGGAAUAUAUGGAAGUGCAAAAACUCCAAGGUCUCCCGGGAUGUUUUUGAGGAAUUGCACAUUACUGCUAGCAAGAUUGCUGAUGAUUGAUACCAUGGUCCAACAGGUAUUCACAUGAAAUUAAUAAAUGGCACCUUACGGAUUGGAGUACUCUACUGUAUCACCUAUCUGGGAGAUUUUAAUUUUUUCCUUCUAUUAUUUCUCUUAAUCCCUGUGCACUCAUCGGACUUUGUAUAGUUCUCAGUUUUAUGAAGUGGUUCAGGCUGGCGUAAGCCGCCAUAGUCCCAGUAAAAAAAAGGCUACAAGCUUCGCUUCGGCCUUUUGGAACUGAAUAUUAUGUAGUUUUAUUGAGAUUAUUGAUAGUGCUUCUCUACUAUCAAAGAAGGUAAUAGUCUCUUAUGUGUUUCUUUUUGUCCAUUUGAAUGCACUCCAUUUUUUAGUGUAUUAAUUAACAUCAAACCUCCCAUUCUUUCUAGAGUGCUGAUGUAUUAUUAUUUUCAGCUUAACACAUUUAACUUCCUAUAGAUUUCAUGGUUUAUGCAGAUUAACCGAGCUAAGAUUUUUUGUGAAGCUAAAGCUGGUGUUAAGAUGAACGCCGCUAUGUAUAUAUUUGAAACAGUUAGAUACAUGCUUGACAGACUAUAUAGGGGUGAUCAAAACCAUGCAAAGCAUUAUGGGACAAGUUUCUCUACCUUAAAUAAGUGUUCAUUCUCUCGUGUUUACUAUUCGUUUAAGGGUCAUCAACCCGUGUAUUUAUUUUCAUUGAGCAAGUUUUACAUUUUUCUUCAGUGGUGUUCAUUGUGCAGUUCUAGAUUUUUAAGAGAGUAGAGUUUAUUGAUUUAUUACAUGGAGAGACCAGUAGUGUCGUAGUGGUCUUGACAUAAUUACUAACAUUUUCUACUAGAAAAAGUUUAAUUGCACUAAAUACAAAUUAGAACAUGCAUAGACAUUUAUCUUCUUUCUACAGAAUGGUUAGUGUAAACGUACUUUAAGUUGUACAUGAUUCUGUAUCUGACCAUUUUAUCUCAUAUGUUGAUGUGGUUGCAGAUAUGAACUUCAAAUUAUCCUGCAAUGUAUUGACUGCUCGGAGCUAACUUGACUACGCCAGUUUUCUUUUAUGGCUCAAAGUAGUUAGUGUCCCCCCUUAUUAUGAGAGAGGUACUACUUCAAACAUCUCUUCUUAAUGUUUUAUGUCAUGGCAUACAGUAUGAGGGAGUGUUAGUUGGCUUGACUUUCGUGGCACUCAUUGAUAACCUUUCAGUUUAGGAGUUUUUGUGGCCUCUUAAUCCAUGAGAGUAUGCUCAUGUUGAAGAAGUUAGUCAUAAUGAGGGGCACCAUAAAUGUUUGUUAUCUGGCACAAAUUCCUAAUGAAUAUCACAUGUGAACCUUUUACUGUUGUGUUAUUCAAAUUUCAUUGUACUAUUCAUACAGUAAAAUAUGAGUGCCAUGUCAGAAUAUGGUUCUCGAUCUGAAAGAUCAUAUUCAAAAUUACAGGUUCUAUGGCAGUGCACUGGUAGAAAAAGAGGCUUCCGUCCAGCCCCAUUAGUCGCGAAACUGUAGGAACCGCGACCAAUGAAGUCUUUAGUCGCGGUUCGACAGACGAACCGCGACCAAAUGCCUGGGCCCAGGGCGCUCGGUGGCCAGCUGGUGCACGUGAGGGGCUUUAGUCGCGGUUGGCCAGGCCAACCGCGACUAAAGCUCCUCCCCUAUAUAUACCAGUUCAGCACACUCACUUAGCCAUUUGGUGCCACUUCUCUUCGCAAGCUUCACAAGGGGGUGUAGGUUUGCUUUUGGUUCCUCUUAUGCACACAAGGUGUUUGAUGAAAUGCCCCAAGAGCGUGAAACAAACAUGAUAUGAAGUGUUGGAGCCACACUUGAGGUUCCUCAUUUAUUUUUUCCUCCUCGAUCGCGGUUAGCAACUUGAACCUUUCAUGCAUGUGUGUCAUUGAUAAAAUAUGCAUGUGUGUUGUUCAUUGUUUAAUUUCUAUUGUUUAUAGCUAGUUAGUUUAACAAAUGCAUGAUGGUUAAUUAUAUAUUUUAUAUUAUAAUAAUGCAGAUGAAUCGGCAAUGGAUGUACGGUAACCGACUCUCCCGCGAGUUCACUACGGGUUUGAAAGAUUUCCUCGUAGUGGCUAAUGCGAACAAGCAGAAGGGUUUUGUUAUCUGUCCAUGUGUUGACUGUAAGAAUCAGAAGGGUUACUCUUCCUCAAGAGAAGUUCACUUGCACCUGCUUCGGCACGGUUUCAUGCCAAGCUAUAAUUGUUGGACCAAGCAUGGAGAAAGAGGGGUUAUAAUGGAAGAAGAUGAAGAAGGGGAUGAUUUCAUCGAUGAAAGCUAUCUUGCUCAUUUCGGUGAUACUUUCAUGGAGGAUGCUGAAGGUGAAGGGGAAGGUGAAGGUGAAGAAGAGGCACGUGAUGAGACCGUUGAUGAUCUUGGUCGGACCAUUGCUGAUGCACGGAGACGCUGCAAAACUGAAAAGGAGAGGGAGAAUUUGGAUCGCAUGUUAGAGGAUCACAGAAAGUCGUUGUACCCCGGAUGCGAUGAUGGUCUGAAAAAGCUGGGCUGCACACUGGAUUUGCUGAAAUGGAAGGCACAGGCAGGUGUAGCUGACUCGGCAUUUGAAAACUUGCUGAAAAUAUUGAAGAAUAUGUUUCCAAAGAAUAACGAGUUGCCCACCAGUACGUACGAAGCAAAGAAGGUUGUCUGCCCUCUAGGUUUAGAGGUUCUGAAGAUACAUGCAUGCAUCAACGACUGCAUCCUCUACCGCGGUGAAUACGAGAAUUUGAAUGAAUGCCCGGUAUGCACUACAUUGCGUUAUAAGAUCAGAGGCGAUGACCCUGGUGACGAUGUUGAGGGCGAGAAACCCAGGAAGAGGGUUCCCGCCAAGGUGAUGUGGUAUGCUCCUAUAAUACCACGGUUGAAACGUCUGUUCAGGAACAAAGAGCAUGCCAAGUUGUUGCGAUGGCACAAAGAGGACCGUAAGUCGGACGGGGAGUUGAGACACACCGCAGAUGGAACGCAAUGGAGAAAGAUCGACAGAGAGUUCAAAGAUUUUGCAGCUGACGCAAGGAACAUAAGAUUUGGUCUAAGUACAGAUGGCAUGAAUCCUUUUGGCGAGCAGAGCUCCAGCCAUAGCACCUGGCCCGUGACUCUAUGCAUCUACAACCUUCCUCCUUGGUUGUGCAUGAAGCGAAAGUUCAUUAUGAUGCCAGUGCUCAUCCAAGGUCCGAAGCAACCCGGCAACGACAUCGAUGUGUACCUAAGGCCAUUAGUUGAUGAACUUUUACAGCUGUGGGGCAGACCUGGUGUCCGUGUGUGGGAUGAGCACAAAGAAGAGGAAUUUGUCCUACGAGCGUUGCUUUUCGUAACCAUCAACGAUUGGCCUGCUCUUAGUAACCUUUCGGGACUGUCAAAUAAGGGAUACAAUGCAUGCACGCACUGCUUACAUGAGACUGAAAGUGUACAUUUUCCAAAUUGUAAGAAGAACGUGUACCUUGGGCAUCGUCGAUUUCUUCUGAAAAUUCAUCCAGUAAGAAAGAAAGGCAAGCAUUACAACGGCAAGGCAGAUCACCGGCCGAAGCCUGCGGAACGCACUGGUGAUGAGGUAUUUGAUAUGGUCAAGGAUUUGAAAGUCAUCUUUGGAAAGGGUCCUGGCGGACAAUCAGUUCCGAAGGGAGCUGACGGGCACGCAGCCAUGUGGAAGAAGAAAUCUAUAUUCUGGGAGCUAGAAUAUUGGAAAGUCCUAGAAGUCCGCUCUGCAAUCGACGUGAUGCACGUUACGAAGAAUAUUUGCGUGAACCUCCUAAGCUUUUUGGGCGUGUAUGGAAAGACAAAUGAUACAAAGGAAGCACGGCAGGACCAGCAACGUUUGAAAGACCCUGAUGACCGGCAUCCGGAAUGGUUUCAAGGUCGUGCCAGCUACGCUCUGACCAAAGAAGAGAAGGUCAUCUUUUUUGAAUGCCUGAGCAGUAUGAAGGUCCCGUCUGGAUUCUCGUCCAAUAUAAAGGGAAUAAUAAACAUGGCGGAGAAAAAGUUCCAAAACCUGAAGUCUCACGACUGCCACGUGAUUAUGACGCAAUUGCUUCCGAUUGCUUUGAGGGGGCUCCUGCCGGAAAAUGUUCGAGUAGCCAUUGUGAAGCUAUGUGCAUUCCUCAAUGCAAUCUCUCAGAAGGUAAUCAAUCCAGAAGUUCUACCACGGUUACAGAACGAUGUGAUCCAAUGUCUUGUCAGUUUCGAGUUGGUGUUCCCGCCAUCCUUCUUCAAUAUUAUGAUGCACCUCCUGGUUCACCUAGUCGAAGAGAUUUUCAUUCUCGGUCCUGUAUUUCUACACAAUAUGUUCCCCUUCGAGAGGUUCAUGGGAGUAUUAAAGAAAUAUGUUCGUAACCGUGCUAGGCCAGAAGGAAGCAUCGCCAAGGGCUAUGGAAAUGAGGAGGUAAUUGAGUUUUGUGUUGACUUUGUUCCUGACCUUAAGCCGAUUGGUCUUCCUCGAUCGCGGCAUGAGGGGAGACUAAGUGGAAAAGGCACGAUCGGAAGAAAAUCAACGAUAUGUAUGGACGUCCAUUCUCUGACUGAAGCACACCACACUGUACUGACCAAUUCCAUCUUGGUGGCUCCGUACUUUGAGAAACACAAGAAUAUUUUACGCUCGGACAACCCGGGGAAGCCUGAAUCCUGGAUUAGGAAGGCCCACAUGGAGACUUUCGGCAGUUGGUUGAGAAAACAUUUAAUGAAUGACAAUGAUGUUGUAGAUCAGCUGUACAUGUUGGCCAAGACACCAUCUUCGACUAUAAUGACUUUCCAAGGGUACGAGAUAAAUGGGAAUACAUUUUACACGAUCUCCCAAGAUAAAAAGAGCACCAACCAAAACAGUGGUGUCCGCUUUGAUGCAGCAACCGAGAAUGGGCAAAAGGUCACAUAUUAUGGUUACAUAGAGGAGAUAUGGGAACUUGACUAUGGACCCUCCUUUAAGGUCCCUUUGUUCCGGUGCAAAUGGUUCAAGCUAACAGGAGGUGGGGUAAAGGUGGACCAGCAAUACGGAAUGACAAUGGUGGAUUUCAAUAAUCUUGGUUACCUUGACGAACCAUUCGUCCUAGCGAAAGAUGUCGCUCAGGUUUUCUAUGUGAAGGACAUGAGUAGCAAACCGAGGAAACGGAAAGAUAAGAAAACGAUCAGUACAUCAUGCGAUGAUCCAAAGCGCCACAUUGUUCUUUCAGGGAAAAGAAACAUCGUGGGAGUGGAGGACAAGACAGACAUGUCAGAAGAUUAUAAUAUGUUUGCUGAAAUUCCGCCCUUCAAAGUGAACACCGACCCAAGCAUUAAGUUAAAUGAUGAGGAUGCUCCAUGGAUACGGCACAAUCGUAAGCAAGAAGGGACACAAGGGAAGAAAUGAUGUGUAAUAAUUUAUUACCCGUGAUGUGUUUGGUGUCCAUUUUCGAAUGAUUCGAGAUACCACUGAUGAUACAUGAAAUUUGGAGUGAUUUAGUCAUACUCCUGCCUAGGCGUAUAAUAUGCAUACUCGUAGUCUUCAUAGCCGCCGUCGUCGUCGUUCCUGUCGUCGCCUUCUAAGUUGCCGCCGUCGUCAUCGCUGCUGUCGUCGCUGUCGUCGGGCGGCGCUCGUGGCUCGAACUGAGGGUAGCGCAGGCGGGGGAUAUCGCCGGCCGUGAUGUAGUCCAUGACGCUCUGCAGAGUCCGGCCGUACCACCAUAGCCGACGGCCGGCCUCGUGGAAGUUCCCAGGAGGCAGACCGUCCUCCUCAUACCUGGCGAGCGCCCUCUCACGCCGAUUAAUGAAGAAGGCGUCCCAAGUAUGCUGGUUAUCGGGAUGCCAGCGGGGAUUCAUCCGCUGCUCCGGCGUGAGGUCGAGGUAGUAGUGGUUCGUGAUGGCCGCCCGGCACGCAGUACCCUGAGGGACGGGAGGGACCGGCACGCCGCCGGCGCUUAGGCUCCAGCCGGUGGGGACGCGGUAGCCCGGUGGACAAGGGUAGUUCGAGGCGCAAAGCUCCUCCACCUGCUGGUAGGUUAGAGUGGGUGCGGUGGAAGCCAUGAGAGAGUGAUGAGAGAUUGUAGAGAUGUGAUAAUGCUGGCCAAGACGGGCUACAUAUAUGUAGUGAGAAAUGGCGGGAAAAAUGGGAGCGGGAAGACAGGAGGCGGGAAGAAAGUGGCGGGAAGAAAGAGGCGGGAAGACAAGGAAGAAAUGGCGGGAAGAAGAUAAUAUUUGUGUUUUUAACAUAUUGAAUUGAAUUAGUUCUAUUUUUCUGAAUUUUUUGAUAUAUUAUUUGUAUUUUUAACAUAUUGAAUUGAAUUACUUUUAUNNNNNNNNNNCGCCGUCGCCCUCGCCCUCAACGCCGCCCGCCGCCGCCCGCCGCGCUGUCAGGCGACGACUCCGGCGCCUCGGCCGGGUAAUUAUCCUCAAGCGCCGUCUCCUCCAGGCCCCGUGCCGCGCGGCCCAUGGCGGCGCACGAGAGCAGCAGCACGGCCAAGAGAAGAAGCGCGGUGCAGCGGGCCUUCUCCGGUGAAGUGCCGCCACGGGAGAGGCUCACCGGAGCUCUCUCCGGCACCCGCCUACGGGUCCCAUCUGUCAUACACAUGAACACACUGCUGGGUGCACUUCCGUGUACCCAUAGCAGUUUCUGUAUUUAAUAAUUUGAAUUAAAUUAAAUCAGGAUAUUAGAAAAUGAACCAAAACUUUGAAAAUUAAUAGAAAAUAAACCGUAACUCGGAUGGGAAAACUCUGUACAUGAAAGUUGCUCAGAACGACGAGACGAAUCCGGAUACGCAGCCCGUUCGUCCAUCACGCAUCCCUAGCAUAGCGAACACGCAACUUUCCCCCUCCGACCCAUCUGUCUGAAAACGCGAAACACCGGGAAUACUUUCCCGGAUGUUUCCCCCCUUCACCGGUACCACCUCGUACCGCGUUAUGGUACACCUAGCAAAUAAAAAACUUGCCAUGAUGAAUUACUAAAAUUUGCCAUGAUCUAUCAAAUAAUUUUGACAUGAUUCAUAAGUAAAAAAAGAAAUAUGUCAUCAGUUAUUUUAACAAUGCAUGGUCACUGGCUCAAAUUUGGCAUGAACUAUAAACUAAAACUAUCAUGGUGAAUUACUUAAAUUUGCCAUGAUACAUGUACUAAAAUUUGCCAUGGUUCAUACAAAAAUGUGUAAACCCUCUCCCACCCCUUCCUCGCCCCCUUCUUUUGCCACCGCCCUUUCGCCACCGCCACCGCCACCGCCACCGCCCCCCUUCUUCACUUAAUUAAUUUGUUUUUACUACAUGUUUUCAGGACUGACAUAAUGGCGGACGAUAGAGCUGACCCGAUUAUGGACAACUAUGAUCCGGACGGUGAAGCACAUAUGUUCGGCAUCAUAAACGGCGAUAUUCUAUAUGUGCCGACCGGACAAGAAGAAGAUGAUAUCUCUUCUUAUCUGAACCUUGACGGUGAAGAUGAAGGGCGCCGUCAGCAAGAUGAUGCCGAACAAACGUCGAUAAACGACGAUCUUCAAAUGGAAGUAGCAACCACCUCCGGCGCCGAGGUAUAUAUAUACAUUGAGCCUCUGGUGAUACAAACUAACUGAUUUGAAUAAAUAUGUGUGUACUAACGUGCGCGACUCUCUUUCUUAUUUUAGCCCUCGGCCGGAUCGUCGAAACAAUCGAGUACAUCGUCAAAGCGUGGCGCAACCAAGACGAUGAAACAAGGAGAAACAUGCACCAUCGAGGUUGUCGACAGUGCAACCGGCAGGCCGCUGGAGCCCCGCAAGAACGCCACCAAGUUUGUCAACCAAUGCGGAGCCGUUGUUAGAGACAACGUCUCGAUCACCGUCCAGGAGUGGAAUAAGCCAAAGAAGGCACGAAUUGCUGGUUUCACUUUUGUCGAUAAGAGAACAAAAAAAGAUUGCUUCAAGAAGCUUAUGGAACAUUUCAUUCUACCUCCGGAAUACAACAAAUUCGAUGAGGAGGGUAACAAGAUUGAGGAAAACAAGGAGAGGAUGAGGCUAGUCAAACAGUUCGCUCUUCAUAAGAUGGCCGACGCAUUCCGGAAAUUCAAGCAAAAUCUAGCCCGUGACUUUGUCAAGCAGAACAAGACUCCGGAUUUCAAAGGACAAUAUGAGAAACUGAAACAUGAUUGGCCAGAAUUUGUGAAGCAAAAGAAAUCGGAGCAGUUCAUUCAAAUAUCAAAAAAAAUAAGGAAAAUGCGGCUAAGAAGGAGUACAAUCAUAUUAUGGGGCCAGGAGGGUAUCGCCUUUGGGUGCCUAGGUUGGAGAAGAUGGAGAACGAGCUGAGGGCGCGAGGAAUCCGUCCAGGUACGGAGGGAUGGGACCCAAGGGCCAAAAGCUGGUGGUACGGGCAUGGGGGAACGCUGAACCCGAAGACAGGGGAGUGUGUUUACCGGGGCAAAAUAAUUAAACCCACCCAAGCCCUUAUUGACGCAAUGAGGGAUGCUCAAGAGGGGAAGAUCAAGUUCAACAGAGAGAACGACGCGCUGACAAAAGCCCUCGGGAAUCCUGAACACGGAGGACGUGUACGAGGCAUGGGGCACAUUCCGUGGAAAAUAGGGUUCCCCCAGAACGAUGACCCGUACGGUUACAGAAGCCGUAAGAGAAAGAUGGAUCGGGAAGCAGAUGUUGUGGCGCGGUUGGCAUCGGAAAUGGAUGUGAUGAAGAAAACCGUGAGUGUACUAGUAGCCGAAAGAGAUGCAGCUCGGGCGCAGCAUGAAGAUCAUCUAGCGGAUCUCGGAAGCCAGCAGCGGAGAAGCAGCGUGGCUUCCUCGGAGGCCCCACCGGCUGGUGCAGAUGCACCGACGAUCGAAAUUACUGCACCGGAGCCUCUGGUGGUCGAAAUUACUGCAUCGGAGCCUCCUCGCUACCCCGUGGACGAUAUAAAGGAGAUGAAAGAAUGUCAUCUGUAUUAUCCUAUCGGGAACAUGUCCAUGAAGGUAGCCAUCGGCAGUGCUUUACCAUGUUUACCUGGAGCACUCCACCACAACAACCCCAUUCAAGAUGGCUAUGCUCGUGUCACGGUGGAGGACAUAGUCCAAGGGUUUGAGGACCUGGAGAUUGACAUUGCUACACCUGAAGGGGAGAAAAGACUUGGAGAUGUCAAGCGCCAUUUCAUUCUAUGGCAAAAGAAGUUUAUCAAGUUUCCAGGCGAGGCGCCAAGGACAACAAGUCCACCCCCCUACGGUGGUGGUGGUGGCGGUGGUGGUGGUGGUGGUGGUGGUGGCGGUUCACCUACACCUCCGUCACGUCAGUCGACGCCCCUCAGUCCACAACGUCCGGCGGGUGAUCAGACGCCGCCCCCCAGUCCUCGUCCGGCGGGUGAUCAGACGCCGCCCCCAGUCCUCGUCCGGUGGGUGAUCAGCCGACGCCCCCCAGUCCACAACGUCCGGCGGGUGAUCAGACGCCGCCCCCCAGUCCUCGUCCAGCGGGUGAUCAGACGCCGCCCCCCAAUCCACCUCCGGCAAAGAAGCAGAAGCAGUCCUGGAUUAUUAACCCGGACCCUUAUGUACCUAAGACCACAAAGGUACCGGAGCCAUCACUGAAGCCUCUCCCCACAAGGCCUUGGGAACGUAGUGCCGAGGAAACUGCCGCGGCCGCGGCUGCUGAUCAUGACAAAUGGAAGGCGGACUGCAAGAAGAAAAGAGAGCCCGAGCCCAAGCCAGUAUUUUCUGAUGAGCAAAAGAAGUGGGCUAAGUCAUUUUUGAGCACACCGUCCCAAGCCGCGAAGAAUCUGCCUGACGACUAUGCACGUGAACUUCGUAGGCAGGCACUCAUGUUGAAGGAGAAGAAAGAGCGGGCGGAGAACCAGGAGAACAAAGCCUUGGAGGAGGCCGAGAAAACGGAAUUAGAAAGUAAAAAAGCGGGAAACGAGUUGCCCAGCUCGGGGAACAAAGUAAACAAUCGAUUGCCCCGCUUAUAGUGAAAGCCGCCGGUCCGGAUGACCCCGAUAUCAUAGUAGCUGCGGCAGCACAUGGAUUGACUGUAACGAGUGCCAGAGAACAAGUGGCCAACUUAGGUAUUACUCUUCGUGAACUGUUAGGCCUUGAUGAGGCGCCAGUGAAGGAGGUAGUAAUUACAUAUGUGAAGAAUGGGCCUCUCGUCGAGCCUGCGCAGGAAAAGGAUCUACCUCCACAAAUGAAAGGUCUGCUGAAAUGGUACAAGGGUUACAUAAAAAAUAAAAACGCCAAAGAAUAUAUUUAUGCGGAAGUUAGAUAUGAGCAUCACUUCAAACAUUACUAUGUACAAAUUCUUCUGAGUGAAUUGUUCCAGCUUUUCAAUCUGCGCGAGCUCGACAAAUCUAUCAUCAGUUGCUACGUUCUGUAAGUGAUUUAUUUCUACCCCAUCUCGUUCAUAUUGCCUGCACUAUAUAUAUGUCCUAACUAUAUUGUUGUGUCCGCUAUUAUACAUGCAGAAUGAAGAUUAAGGAAUGCAGAGUAAGGAACAUCCAUGAUGUUGGGUUCAUUGACCCACACAUCGUUAAUGGAUAUGUGUUGGAGCAUCACCCCGCCGACAUGGAGGCAGACCUGUGGCAGUUUCUUACAAAGCAGGAACUCAAAAGUGAUAUUCUAUUUCCUUACCAUUUUGGGUGAGUGUUUCUGUCUUGAGCACAUUCUCUUUUGUUUACUCCAUGCAUGGUAUGUGGCUGGCUAAUCGAUGAGUUAUGCAUGACGUACUGUGCAUGUAUCGUGUCCGCAGGUUUCACUGGAUUCUGCUAGUAAUUAAAGUUGACACCUCAGAAUGUCUCGUCCACGACUCUCUGAAUAUGGAUCCAAAGCUUUGGGGCGGCAUGAGAAGAAUGCUGCAGAAGUAAUUAUUUUCAUUCAUUUGCGCUCUAUAUCGAUCGGCCUAUUUCGUUCAUUUCCUAAUAUCAAGUAACUAAUAACUCUCUUGUUCAUUUAAUUUUCUUUGCCUCGUAGGGUUUGGAGACGGUUCGUAGAUACAAAGGUCGGUGAAUUCAAAAAAGAGCUAGAAUUCAAAAGGUCAAAGGCUAAGAAUGCUGGGGAUAUUCAGCCAGCGGGGACCAAUCUAUGUGGAUACUAUGUCUGUGAGAUGAUCCGGAGAUACACCUCUGAGCGGGUUCCGAGUGAUACCAAUGCUCAGAGGAAUAACCUCCGGAUGAUGCUUAGUCCAGAAGCUCGCUUCCGACCACUUCAAGAGGAACUAGCUGGAUGGUUCAGCAGGGAAGUCCUCCAUUCUAAAGGAGAACACCAUUACGAGGACGUAGAACUUUAUAUGCAUUAAAUUAUGUAUGGAAACUUGUUCAAAAUUGUAUAUGGUCAUCCGAUGAUAUUGAAUAUAUAUUGUAUAUUCCUCUUGAAUUCUUUUUGGUUCUAAUUUCAAAUUUGUUUGAAAUUGUACAUUCAUAUGCAUGUAUGUAGUACCGUAGAAUAUGUGAAACUCCUUCAAAAUUAAAAUAAAGCACAAAAGAAAUAAAACAAUACAAAUUAAACAGAAAACAGGUUUAGGGGGGGGGGCUAAAACCCUAAACCUGUGGCGGCCUUUAGUCGCGGUUGGCCAGAAGAACCGCGACUAAAGGUCCUCCGCCCCGACGGCCGCCUGGCGCCCACGUGGACGGGCCUUUAGUCGCGGUUCUUAAGCAACCGCGACUAAAGUGGGGGUCCUUUAGUCGCGCCUAUUUGGUCGCGGUUGCGCAACCGCUACUAAUGGCAGUUGCGAACCGCGACCAAAGGCCCUUUUUCCACUAGUGGUGGAGUAAUGUUCGUAAAUUAUAUAUUGCUUUCAAGUUUGGAGCUGGAAUAAUAUAUGUGCUGCAUUUAGUUAUAGUCUUAUAGAUAUACAUGAACAUCCAUUGUAUAUUUCUUGCAAGACAUGGUAACUACUAUUAUUUUGAUUGUUUCCGUGAACUAUUUUGACCUUGAUUAAGAAGUAGAAAGUUUUUAGCCUCGUAGGUUGUUUGAUCUACUAUAUCAAGUGGCACUUGGCUUCUCAUGGCUCUCCUCGCAUUUGCCAAAACAAAAUUAGUACACACUACCUAGAGCUCUGGAAAUUAGAACUGAAAAAUGGUCCUGCGGUUUAUUAGCUGAUAUAAAUCAUGCACAAUCCUCUACAUUUAAAAAUAAACCGGACACAAAGCAGUAUACUUUUUUCCGAGUACUACCUUGAGAGAGCCAAGGGGUUCUGCAUUUUAUAAAGAAGAAGAAAGUUGCCCGGUUCCAUACAUGCUUAUCUGAGAAAUAUAUCUUAUCUAUCUAGUGGAAACCAGGCAAAAACCUACAGAUACAAAAGGCACAAAGUCCCCCACCGGUCGUGACCGAACUACUGUUUUUGGAAAUAUAAAAUGAGCUAGAUUACUAACAUUGAUGUAAUGCUUGUAUGUCAACCUAUUCCUUUAUCGGUUCAAUUACAGAGUUUUGUUAUUAUGUGAAUGGAGUAAUGGAGAGCUAAGAAAAAACAAGGUAACAGUUAGUGUUACUCUUGCGAGGUAGUUUCAAUCAUAUCAUUGUUUGCUUUCCCUUUUCUCCUGCCUAGGUAUGUACAAUUAUUCCAACCCAGGUUUCUUUCAAGAAGGAUAUGGGUAUGUGUUUGAGGAAUGUCUACAUGAUAAAACACACCUUCAAGUUUGGUGAUAGUUAUGCUAUCAAACUUACAAUGGGGGUCUUAAUUUGUAUUUUUAAUAGAGCACUGGGUUCAUUGGUGAGACUUGUGAGGAUGUGCCUAGGCUAAAGAUGGCUCCUAUGUCGGUACCAAGUGGCAUGUGUUUAAAUGGAGUAUCCUUGUCAGGAGAGCUGAUUUCUGAAAUAUGGUACUUUAUGGGUGCAAGGAUUCACCAUGUUGCGGUCUUCGUCAGCGAAGUGGACUCCUAGGAAUUAGUCAAGGCCGCUAUGUUGUUUUAAGCUGAUAUUCUAUUGUACUUGUAUUUUUUUUGCUUAUCUAGUUGUUUGCCAUGCAGUUCUCGUUGUUGGUGGGGACAUUUGUUGUCUAAGAUCGACCUCAAAUAUCUGGUGGCACUAUAGCAUGGCUUUUGAUAUUCUAAUGUAUAUCUCUUACAAAAUAUUUCAAGAGCCCGUGGCAACGCACGGGCAUUAUACUAGUGUAAGUAAGGAUGGAGAUGAAGAUGGUGUGGCGACAAGGAUAUAACAAAACGCCUGGUUCCUUCAGCCAAAAGUUGGCAACGUUCCUUGUUACACACGCUCCGCCCAACAAACGCUCCAAAAGCCAAAAUACAAUUCCUCAAACAACGGCCAAAGACUACUUCCCCACAUGGAAAAGAAAUACGCACAUGGCGUUACAAUGUUGGCUACUCAUGUCUGAGUUCCUAAACCCUUGCAAAACAGAAAGAAAGGUUGUUUGCUAAACAAAAGAAAGGCCAACACAAUCCUAUCCAAACACUCCACAUUUUUACUAUGUGGCAAAAAUAUGCAACUUUUUUUUGUUUUUAGGUACAUGCCAUUUAAAAAAAACACAAUUUUUUUAUGUUCACACGCCAAGGUAUUUUGUACACAUGGCAAAAUUUUCCGAAGAAGAAAAAUCUCACGACCCCAUGGAUAAUUCAUAACUUUUUGUCUUUCAAGCAGGGCAAUUUUAAGUCAUUUUGUAAUGCUAUUGUGGCAAACGAUGGGAUCUUUAAUCAAUUUUCAUGGCGAAUUUGGGAUUCUUUUCCCUACUUUUUCACAUGGCAAUUUUAUUAUGAUUAAAAUGGAGAUCUUAUUAUUCAAAACAUGGCAGCUUUACUAUUAAGAGCAUGGCAAUUUAAGUAUGAUAGAAUCUCCUCCCCUGCUCGGUCUACCCCACAUGCAUGGCGUAUAACAUCCUCUAGCCCCAAUUGCCGCCAAACCUCUUUAGCCUUAUGGCAUCGAAAUAGUACAUGAAACACAUCUUCUGCUCCUUGUUUACAUGUAGGACACGUCGGCCGGACUGGGAUGUGUCUAUUAGCAAGAACCACAUUGCAUGGCAGUGUUCCGUGUAAGGUUCUCAGAAGAAAAUUUUUAACUUUCGCCGGACAAUUCAGUUUCCAAACCUUUUCCCAUGUUGGGUUAGCACUAGUGGCUCCCAAACCAUCUGUCCUCUGCAAUUUACGACCAUGCUGAAAGUACCAUAGAGCAUGGUAGGCCGAUUUCACUGUAAAAAUUCCAUGUUUAUUCAAACUUCAUGCUACAAAGUCACUCAUAUCAUGUGUAGGUAGUGGUAAAGCAAGGACCCGUUCCACAUCAAUCGGCCAGAAGGUUUGCUCCACAAGUGGCACAUCCCAGUGACCUGUAGCUGGAUCAAUUAAAUCACUCACCUUUGAUAGUAACUGGUUACCUCUUGGGGUAAUAAUCAUUCUGGAUGGUGAGUUAGGAAUCCACGCAUCCCUCCAAACAUUUAUUUUUUCACCAUCCCCUACUCUCCAAAUGUAUCCAUGUUUCUGGGUAUUCACCCCUUGCAUAAUGCUUUGCCAAGUGUAGGAGGAAUUCUUUUUCAGCUUAAUUAAUUUACCAGCACAAGAAGCGGGGAGUGAAAAACUUCCAUGACUUGAUGUCCACUUGCUGCUGGUACCUUUGGUGGGAGAGGAGAAAGCUUGUGCACAAUGAGCCGGUACAAGAUGCGAAGAGAGUUGCGCAAGCGGUAUGUGCUUUAGCUGCUAACUAUGCUAUUGCAUGUGACCCAAAGGCCUCGUUAAAGAGGGGAGGUUGGUGCAAACCCCCUAGUGGAUAUGUCAAGUUAAAUGUUGAUGCGGCCUUUGAUUGGGAUUUGCUUCAGGGGGCGAUGGGAGCAGUCAUCCAGAUGAUAGAGGACAUAUGGUUGUAGCUGGAAACAAGCUCAUUGAUUCAUGUUAUGAUGUACUAACUGUUGAGGCAAUGGCUUUGAAGUUUGGGUUGAAUAUGGCGCUCACAGCUGGGUGCAAUAGACUGAUUGUCAACUCGAAUAAUCUGGAACUCAUGGAAAUAAUGAAUAAGGAUGGCCAAUAUGCUGGAGAUGCCGCGGCCAUUGUCGAUGAUUGUUAUCAUCUGGCUUGCGAAUUUAGCUCUAUUGUCUUCGAAUUUUGCCCCAGAGAGUCGAAUGGGGUUGCACAUGAACUAGCUAGGAUUGCUAGAAGUUCGCUUUGUAAUGAGUGGUUAGAUAAUGCUCCUUCUGAGCUUCUUCACCUCUACUUAAAGAUGUAAGUCUGAUCACGAAUGAAUAAAGAGGAAGUAAAGUUGUCAAAAAAAAAGAGCAUGACAAUUUUAUUUUUAAUGGCAUGUCAUUCUUACCUCUUUUUUUUUGAGAAAAGCAUGUCAUCUUUACUAUGUCCUUCUCGCCUGCUGUAUGAAGUAGGCGGACCCUAGAUGGGCUUUCCCAAUAUUGGUUCCUGGGACAGGGUUCAUGCAGAGUUUUUUUUUCCUGGGCCAAUUUUCAUCUUUUUGUUUGGUUUUCUGUCUUAUGUGUUUCUUUAUGGAUUUUAUUUCUUUCUCAAUACAUGUCCAUUUUUCUAAAUACACACUGUAAAAAUUUACACAUCUUGAACAUUUUUUAUUAAUUGGCAUAAACCUAUUUUUGGAGUGUGUGAGCAUUUUUUAAUUGUCAUGUACAUUUUUCUGAAAGGCAGUAUUUAUUUUGUUGAAUUACGUGAGCAUUCUUUCCACAUUGUAUGACAUUUUCUAAUAAUCUCACGUAUAUUUUUUGAAACACGCGAACAUAUUUUUGAAUGCUAUAAACAUUUUUUAUAUCAUGCUGCAUUUGGUCUAUAUUAGUUUAAACUAAGUCAGUGACAAUUAAUAUGGAUCAUAGAGAGUACAAUUUUGUACAUGAUGUUUAUACUUUUAUAUUUCACUUUCAACAUUUUUUAUUUGUUAAACUCUAUUGUGUUUUUGGAAUAAGUGUAUUUAGAAUAUAUUUUUUUAAAUGUAAAUAAAAUGGAGCGAAUGAAGAAGCAGAGAAGAAAAACGAAGGCCGGCCAAAUGUAUGGCGUUCCCUGCCUCAUACCUGCAAAUCAAGCUAAGCAGCGGGUGAUAAUUUUUUACACAAUGUUUAUAGUUUUCUAUUUCACUUUGAACAUUUCAAAAUUUUAAGGAAAUUAUUAUUUUUAAAUAAAUGUUUUUAGUUUUUUUAAUAAAAAGGUGAAAAAAAGGAAAUUGAGCGAAUGAAGAAGCAGAGAAGAAAAACGCCCUUUCUUUCAUCAACUGAACUGCGUGCGUGCAUGGAAGGGCUAUCAUCUGCACUUAAGAGGAGUGACUUACCUAUCAUUGUGGAGAUGGACUCUAUUCUUGCAGUCAAACUGAUCCAAUCGAGGGAUUUGGACAAAUCUAUUUAUGCUUGGAUAGUUAAGGUGAUCAAGUAUGUUUUGGGGAUUCGUGGUUCUUGUAUUACUCAUGUAAAUCGCUCUUAAAAUAAAGUUAGCGACUGCUUAGCUAGAUUUGCUAAAUUAGAAGGACAAAGCAUGACUUGGGUUGGUUCUGGUCCAGAUGUUGCUGUUGAGCCAGCUAUUGCUCAAUGUAUGGACACCAUGAGUUGAGUAAUGCAAAAAAAAAAAAAAAGUUUGCGCAGAAUUAUUUUCGACCUGCCUCAUAUCUCUACUCUUAAUGGACGACUUGGUGAAUAGUCUUCAUGGUUUAUUUUCGCUGUUUUUUUUUGUCAUCCUCCCACCUCACGGUUUCAAAAAAACCAACCAAAACCAGAGGCCCGUCCCACGAAACGAAACCCAAUUUGCCCCCGUACCAUCACUCCUCCCUCUCCCUCUACCUCCCUUGUCUAGGGUUCCCCGCCACCACUGCGGCAUCCGCCGCCGAAUCCUAGGUCGCCGCACACCGUCGCCGCCGCCGCGAAUCCCCAGGGACGCCGCACGCCACCGCCGUCGCGAAUCACCAGAGACGCUGCACGCUGCCGCCGCGGAUCCCCAAGGGCGUGGUCGCAUUGUACUAGACAAAGUGUGGUCGCCGUCGUCCUCUCCUCGUCCGACCUUGACCUCAUCCCUUCGACUCCGGUGACUCCUCUGUGGCCCGGGCGGCCCUGGCCGACGCCGUCACAGCCAACGCCGGCCUCACCUCUGCGGCCUCACGCACUGCCGCCGCCGAGGAGCCGGCCUGAUAGGUUUGAACCAUCCCUUGAUCCCUCGAGUAUUCUGCGUCCCUUGAUGGCUCGAUUCCUUGUCUUCUCCAUCUAUCAAUCCCUCGCAUCCUUGCAUGCUACGAAGAGAAUGGUUCCCUUUCUACAGGGUCUGGUGUGAAAGAGUUGGAGCAAGGAGGACGUGUGCGGCCACUUCGCGCUUCGGCGAGAUCCUCAAGGUUGUCAUCGCAGACAAGGGCACUGGAAGAUCCAAGGGCGGCGGAUUCGUGAGUACCGCCCAAACAAUUCUCUCCUCCCCUCAUCAUCGAUUGAUCUUCCUGUAGUUAAUUUUCUUGCUUAAUUCAGCCCCGUUAGUUGAUGCUAUGCCUGGAUGGAUGCUUGGCAUGUUACGUUCCAGGAAGCGGAGGCGGCCAUUAGGGCGUGCUUGGGUCCGUACCCGGUGAUUGACGGCCGGAGGGCCAACUGCAACCUCGCCUGCCUCGAGGUCCAAGGCGCCACAACGAAAACGCCCGCCUCGAUACUCAGCUUCAAGGGAUGUGUCCUGCCACGGGUAGUGCCAUCACACCGGCACAAUGAACUCCCGUGCAACCCAGCAUCCGCAUUGAGACAUCUUUCUUGGCGCUGCCAUUGCUGCCGUACUCUGACAGUCCAUGCAUUGACGCAUCGAUUCAGAAGGUGAGCCCCAGCGACGGCUCCGGAAGAAGGGAUUGGCUGCAGCUGAUUUGGGAGGCCCAGUCGGGGAGAGCAGGGAGGAGGAGCAUCGAUGAUAUUCCUCCCGUCCCAUAGCCAAAGGGAGUGUCAGCGCACCCAGCGGCGGCACAUCUUGCGGCAGCAAUUGACGUAUCGUACCAGGCGGCUGUGUAGCUGGUGAAGUGGUGAGUGCAAAGUGUUUGUGCUAAUGAUUGAGCGGAGUUAUCUUAUGAUUGUCAUAUCACACUAUUUACGAGUAGUAAUGCUUAACUCCGUUGCCUUAGCGUGUGAUUGUGUCAUGUCCGUGACAAUACUAAUGCUCAAUGUUGUUGCCCGAGAGGCCCUUUUUGUAGUUAUCAUAAACGAGUAGGCAGCAUGUAAGAGCACCCACAGUGCUUAGAUGUAUGCUCAUUGCCCUUAAGCAGUGCGUUCUUGUCAACUCACAAGAUUGUACUAUUGUAUUUUGUAGGUACAUCUGAAGAUUCAUCUGCAGUUAGGUAGAAAAUGAUUCAUGUUUUACAUCCAAAAGUUAUACAUUUUUCAGGCUGUAAGCACCUUUAAAGUUAUUCAUGCAUACUUUUUUCAGGCUGUAAACUGCACCCUUAUAGUUAUUCAUGCCUUUUCUUUUAUAUAGUCGUGAUACUUAGAAUACUUAUAUAUUGUCAGUUAUAGGUAAUAUGUUCCAUCAAACAGGAGUUUACUCAGUAUUCAAUAAGAUAUUUUAUUUUUAAUAGUUAUAAGAGGAGACCUGCAUGAAAAACAAGAGUGCAGUUGGUUCAAUCAAAUAGAACUGCAGGUUGAUGGGGGUGGUUUAAUAAAAAGAAAAAGAUGAAAUAGAUUGGUGUUUAUUUAUUCUCUGCGGAAAAUUUUGGGCUCUUUUGUUAUGCUUGCAACUUUGUUUUGGAAUAGGGUAGUUAAAGUGUACUUUUCUUAUGGAAGGCAUGAAAAAGCAUGCGUAGCUAAUUACAACUCAGAAACAAAUGUCUUUGUUUCAAAAAUGACAAUGACGGAAUAAAUUGUUUCAAAAAAUAACUACAAAAAUCUAAAAAUCUAAACAUAGUGAUCAGAUGAACACGGUGGCCACUGAUGAUGUUGGAAUUAGGAUAAGUAGCGAGAUGGGUGGGAGGGCAUGUUGAAGUAGAGAACAUGGACUUGCGGGGAGGAGGGGUGCUUACUUGAGCCAAUUUAUUAGAUUAAGGGUGUGCAUGACUUUUUCCAUAUGCACGAAUUAUUAGUUAGUGAGAAUUAAGCGCCAUGCAUUCUUGGUUUGAUUGUUAUUCGUCGACCAUGAGCAAGAAUCUGUCAAUUAAUUAGAUGCUUUAAUUAACUUAUAUGUAAUGGCAGGGUGUCCAUGUUGAACGGAAACGCCUAUGGUUGCCCUUCAAGCACUAACAAAUUGGAAAUUCCAAGCCCUGCUGAGAUUACGAGCAGAGUGGAAAGGGAAUCAACACCAUCACGCCAAAACAUUGAAGGUGAAUAAGUGGACCACUAUCUAAGUAAAUAGACGAACCAUAUUUUGUUAGAACUAAGCAGUUGCUGCUAAUAUAAUCCUCUCCAGCAAGAUCAGUUUCGGACAAUAUAAUUUGCUAUUCACUUUCUAUGUGUUUAAGCAUGCUCAAACUCAAUACAAAUGAACAUAAUUCUUUUUUUUAGGUCAUUGCAUGACAAAUAAGAAUACUUACAUCACUGAAUUUCUGAUGUUUUUCUGUCGGAAGUUAGUUCAGUUAGGCACUUCUAAUUGCUUAAGCUCGAUUUCACUCAAGUUUGAUAUAAUCUGCAGGAGCAAUCCAAGAGCUAAAAACUACAGUGAUCUCACUAUUCACCAAGUAUUGUUAUUUUCUCUACCUACGUCCUAAUCAGGUGUGUCACCUUGUGUUGACUUUGCCUACUGAAUUAUAACGAGUCUUGAACUUUGUUAUCUGAUUUUCCUUAUCCUACUUCUUAGCUUUUCAUGCUAUUCUGCGCGCUGUGCAUAAUGUGCAUUUCUUGUUAUUUGCUAAUGUGUACUGGACAAGCGCGGCAGCAAAUUCAUAGUGUGCAUUUCUUGUUAUUUGCCAAUGGUUGUACUGGACAAAGCAUGGUCUUUUGUCCAAACACAUCCCUUAUGUUAUGUCCAAAAUUAGGUUGUUAGUCCUUUUUAGUGGGGUGCACUUAUAUCUCAAUUUUUCCUCCAGUUGUUUAUUACAUAUUGUGAUAUUGGUACAAAGGCUGCCACAAAAGACGAGCAUGUCUGGAUCAGCAAUAUGUCAGGUGNNNNNNNNNNNNNNNNNNNNNNNNNNNNNNNNNNNNNNNNNNNNNNNNNNNNNNNNNNNNNNNNNNNNNNNNNNNNNNNNNNNNNNNNNNNNNNNNNNNNNNNNNNNNNNNNNNNNNNNNNNNNNNNNNNNNNNNNNNNNNNNNNNNNNNNNNNNNNNNNNNNNNNNNNNNNNNNNNNNNNNNNNNNNNNNNNNNNNNNNNNNNNNNNNNNNNNNNNNNNNNNNNNNNNNNNNNNNNNNNNNNNNNNNNNNNNNNNNNNNNNNNNNNNNNNNNNNNNNNNNNNNNNNNNNNNNNNNNNNNNNNNNNNNNNNNNNNNNNNNNNNUAAAACACAUAGACUGUUUUUAUUUUACUAAAAUGUCUACUGCCGACGCAUGUUUGAACUGAAAUGUAUUCUGUUAACAAUUUAUGCUUUACCUUAAUUUCUGCUUUGUGUGCAGGCCCUAGCAGAGCUUGAACCUUCUUCAGCAAAUAAGGGUCACUGAGUUCUUAUAGUCAGUCACUGGACCACAAUGGUUGAUAUCCUUCAAUGGACACUGGAAGUAAUAUGAGCUACAGAUAUGCGUCUCAAUGGGGGGUUAUUUCUUUCCUCAACAAGUUACAGUACAGUAGCAAAGGUAAAGUGAACACACAACUUGAUUGUAUGGUUCUUAGAAUGUCACUGUACUCAGAGGCAGAGGACGAAAAAAAAUUAAGGUGUGGCGAAAUCUUAGGAAAAUAUUUUUUUUGAUGCAAAUUGAAAUAGUCAAUACAAAGUACAAACGAAAAACCAAAUACAAUGAAAAUGUAGACAUGUUUCAAUAGAAAAACAACCUAAAACAUACCAAUAAUCAAGUUUUCAAUGGCGUCUAGAAGACCUAGGUAAUGGCAAUGACCUACCCUCCUUCUGAAAAUCUUCCUUAAUUUUACUAUCAAUACUUUUGAAGAUCUCUCGCUCAAUAUAACAAACCAUCAAGUCACUUGAUCUUCAUGAGUGACAUGUGCCCAAACAUUGACACUUUAGCGGGUGCUUGGAUUCGAUUUCGAGCUGCUGCCACUACCAUUACUUCAAAAUACUUUGUCAAAUAUGCAAUCCAUAACAUCAAUUUGUAACUCAAUUCUGAUUGGUUUCAAGCUGCUGUUAUGCUACAAAUUUUCAUAGACAUGAGCAAUCUACCGCUUCCACCCCAUUCCUUUGGAUUUGCUGGUCCCUUCCCCUCCUUUUCCAUCUUAUGGCCAGAACUGCACCGGACUGGAGCCGCCGCCGUCAGCUGCCCCGUCGUCGGUCACCCGCCUGUUCAUCAGCCCAAUUUUCAUUACAUUUAUUACAAAAACUAAACUUUGCUAGCUCAUGAGCUACUGAAUUAGCAUCACGAAAACAGUGUGAAAAGAUGACCUUCCCUAUCACUAGUAGAAAACGGAGCUUUAAAACCGGUUUGUAAGGGCCUUUAGUGCCGGUUAUGGAACCGGCACUAAAGUGUGGGCACUAAAGGCCCCCCCCUAGUACCGGUUCGGCAUGAACCGGCGCUAAAGUGCCACCACGUGGCGUGAGCUCGCGCCCUGGUAUGGGGGACCUUUGGUACCGGUUGGUGUUACCAACCGGUACUAAAGGUUUUUUUUGAAUUUUUUUUUUGAAAAUUUCGGAAAAAAAUUUUGAUUUUUUUUUUGAUUUUUAAUUUUUCUGAAUUAUUUGAUGAUUUAGUCUCUAAUCACCUCUCUUAACUGCUCAAGUGUGGAUCACUCAUUCCAAAUCAUCUAACUGUUGGGGAACGUAGUAAUUUCAAAAAAAAAAUCCUACGCACACGCAAGAUCAUGGUGAUGGCAUAGCAACGAGAGGGGAGAGUGUAUGUCCACGUACCCUCGUAGACCGUAAGCGGAAGCGUUAGCACAACGCGGUUGAUGUAGUCGUACGUCUUCACGAUCCGACCGAUCCAAGCACCGAACGUACGGAGCCUCCGAGUUCAGCACACGUUCAGCUCGAUGACGUCCCUCGAACUCCGAUCCAGCCGAGUGUCGAGGGAGAGUUCCGUCAGCACGACGGCGUGGUGACGAUCUUGAUGUUCUACCAGCGCAGGGCUUCGCCUAAGCUUCGCGACGAUAUGACCGAGGUGGAAUAUGGUGGAAGGGGGCACCGCACACGGCUAAGGAACGAUCCGUAGAUCAACUUGUGUGUCUAUGGGGUGCCCCCCGCCCCCGUAUAUAAAGGAGCCAGGGGGGAGGAGGCCACCGGCCUAGGGGGCGCGCCAAGGGGGGAGUCCUACUCCCACCGGGAGUAGGACUCCCCUUUUCCAAGUUGGAGUAGGAGAGAAGGAGGAAAGAGGGGAGGAGGAGAAGGAAAAGGGGGGGCGCCGCCCCCUUUCCCUUGUCCUAUUCGGACUAGGAGGGGGAGGGGCGCGCGGCCCCCCUCCUUGCUCCUUCCUCUUCUCCCUCUUGGCCCAUGUAGGCCCAUUAACCUCCCCGGGGGGUUCCGGUAACCUCCCGGUACUCCGGUAAAAUGCCGUUUUCACCCGGAACCAUUCCGAUGUCCAAAUAUAGGCUUCCAAUAUAUCAAUCUUUAUGUCUCGACCAUUCCGAGACUCCUCGUCAUGUCCGUGAUCACAUCCGGGACUCCGAACAAACUUCGGUACAUCAAAACUUAUAAACUCAUAAUAAAACUGUCUGUUAGAGUCAGAUCCUCCGACGGAGCCGCAUAGUAAUGAACAACGUGGAGUGCAAGUCAAGCAGCUACCAAAUAGAUAGUUUCCAUCUCUGUUGGUCUAUUCGUAUUGUAUACAAACUCUGUAAUUUUUGGAUGCAUAUAUAUACGAGGAGGCUGUACCGUGGCUGGCAUUGAGCCGCCCGGUGUAUUCCAAUUUACGUGGUAUCAGGCCACAUCGUUCCUCUCCUGUCAAGACUCGAUCUCAAAACCUAAUCGCCGCCGCCGUUGCCGUUGCCACCAUCGUCGCUUCCCACAGCCUCCUUCUUCUCUGCCACCAUGAACGCUGACGACCUCAAGAAGCUUGAAGAGGAGCUCAAGCAACGCGAGUCCAUCAUCAGAACUCGCGAGGAAGAACUCCGGUGUCUUGCCGAGGAGCGCGGCAAGAUAGUUCUCGCAUCCACCCCUGCACCUGUUCCUGCACCGUCCUCCUAUGCUGCUUCAAUCAAGACAUAUGUUCCCAUCACUCUUGAUCUUCAGGAUUCCAACUACGCCAAAUGGCGUGAGCUUUUUCUCGUGGUCCUUGGGCGCUACGGCCUCUCCAGCCACGUCGGCGGCGGCGGCGCCGCCGACGCCACCCCCUCCGACACGUCGCCUACCUUGGAUUGGGGACGCGAUGACUACACGGUGCUCUCCUGGAUCUACGGUUCGGUCUCCAUCGAGCUCUUCGGCAUCAUCAUGGCUCCCGGCUCCACGGCGCGGCAAGUCUGGGACUCCAUUGCCAACCUCUUCCACGACAAUAAGAAAAGCCGCGCCUUAGCCCUCGAUGCCGAGUUCCGCAACACUCCACAAGGGGACAUGUCUAUUCAUGACUACUGCGCCAAACUCAAGUCUCUUGCCGACGCUCUCGGUGAUGUCGGCCAAAAUAUCACCGACGAGACGCUCGUCCUCACAGUGCUCCGCGGCCUCAAUGAACAAUUCAGUCAUCUUCGGUCUUUUCUACUGUUCCAGGUGCCGUUCCCAUCCUUCCUGCAGACACGUUCCGCUCUCGUCCUCGAGGAGACGCAGAAAAAGACGGACGCCAAGAACGCGGCGGCAACCGCACUCUGGGCAAGCAGCAACAGCAUCCUCCCUCAUGCUGGCGGGGAGCGUGCUCCUUCUUCUAGCCGCGGCACUGGCUACAACAACAGCGACUCACGCAACGCCGCCACACACUCCACCACGCCCUACCCCAACCCUGGCCGCGGCAGUGGAAAUGGCGGACGCCGCGGACGUGGAGGCGGCCGCGGACGAGGCCGCGACAAUCCUUGGAUGUUCAACCCAUGGACCGGCCUCCCGACUCGGGCUCAACAACAACAACAACAUCCUCCCACUGCACCGUGGCAGCCCCGCUGGCGUGCUCGCAGCGCCGGCGUCCUUGGUCCUCACCCCGGUGCAGCUCCUUUCCAGGCGUACACUGCAUAUGGUCAGCAACACACCAACAACGGUGGCAUGAUGCCGUCACCAUCUACAAGCUAUCCAGGAGGUCACCAGCAACUUGAUCCAGCCUUGCUGAACGCACUUCAGAACAUGCAGCUUCCUGGCAAUCAAGAGUGGUACAUGGACUCUGGAGCAUCAUCCCAUAUGGCAUCCGAUCAUGGUAUUCUCUCCUCCUCCCAACCCUCCUCUGCUCACACCGUCACUGUUGGUAACGGUGCCUCCCUUCCCAUCUCUCACAUCGGCACACACACCCUGCCCUCUCUUUCGAAACAUUUAUAUCUUAACAAUGUUCUUGUCGUUCCACAUAUCAUCAAAAAUCUUCUUUCCGUUCGCAAACUUACCACUGAUAAUUUUGUUUCGAUAGAAUUUGACCCUUGGGGUUUUUCUGUGAAGGCACUUCCCACAAGGAUCGAGAUUCUUCGAUGCAAUAGCUCCGGACCACUCUACCCAGUAUGUCGUCCCACGCCCGCCGAAGCACAUGUCAUCACCACCACCCUCGACCUUUGGCAUCGCCGACUUGGACACCCCGGUCAUCACACCAUGAAGCGUCUUCAAAGUUCUUGCCAUAUCUCCUACAAUAAAAUCAUGCCAUCCAUUUGUCAUGCUUGUCAGCUUGGGCGACAUGUUAGAUUACCCUUUUAUCCAUCUGUUUCUUAUAUUAGCAAACCUUUUGCAUUAUUACACUGUGAUCUUUGGACUUCUCCCGUACCCAGUACAUCUGGCUUUGCCUAUUAUCUUAUAAUUGUCGAUGAUUUCACUCAUUAUUUUUGGACUUUCCCACUGCGCAAGAAAUCUGAUGUCUAUGCAACACUUCUCACCUUUCAUGCUUACGCUCGCACUCAAUUUAAUCUAUCUAUUUUAGCUUUCCAAUGCGACAAUGGACGAGAGUUUGACAAUACAAAAAUAGAUACUUUCUGUGCCUCUCACGGUAUUCUCCUUCGCUUCUCCUGUCCAUACACCUCUCAACAAAACGGCAAGGCUGAAUGAGCUAUUCGCACCACCAACAAUGUCAUACGUACCCUUCUGGUCCAAGCUUCUCUCCCCCCAUCCUUCUGGGCCGAAGCACUACACACUGCCACCUUUCUUAUAAACAUUAGACCGACGUCGUCUACCAAAUUUCUCACACCAUAUGCAACUCUUCUUGGUUCGUCACCCCCAUAUGACUCACUUCGUGUGUUUGGUUGCCUCUGUUACCCUAACACUACAUCCACAUCUUCCAACAAACUAUCUCCACGCUCCACAAAAUGCAUCUUUCUUGGGUACCCGACACGCCAUAGAGGUUAUCGGUGUCUUGAUUUAACCACACGACGGAUCAUCAUCUCUCGUCAUGUGGUUUUUGACGAGUCCUCCUUCCCCUAUGCACCCGCCCCCAUUCCUAAUCCACCACGUUGUACAGAAAUUUUCGACCCACCUGAACCAAUCCAUCCGCUUGUUCCCCCUGCCAUGCAUGCAUCCCCUCCACCUGCGCCAGCUAUGCAUGCGCCUGCUAUGCAUGUGCCCAACACCCCGCCACCAACGCCUCAUUCUUCUGGCUCGUCUUCGACCCCGCCUACUAGCACCCCGCUCGCUUCUCCACCACCGGGCUCUUCCUCUACUCACGGGGUGCAGCCUAGCCCACCUGUGCAAUCCACCCCACCUGGCUCGCCAUCCCCUAACCCCAUACCACCGCCCGCUCCACUACAUCGUACACGCUCCACUACUGGCCGGCUUCCUCCACCCAUCGACCGCCUUAACCUCUCUGCUAUUGCUUCUUCUCCACUCCCACACAACUAUCUUAUGGCAUUACGCGAUCCCAACUGGCGUCAAGCCAUGCAAGAAGAGUUUGAUGCUCUCAUCCUAAAUAAAACAUGGACUCUUGUUCCUGCUCCUCCCGGUGCAAAUGUUGUGAGUGGUAAAUGGAUUUUUCGCCAUAAAUAUCAUGCCGACGGCUCUCUCGCUCGUCACAAGGCUCGUUGGGUAGUCCGUGGUUUUACGCAACAACCAGGAAUUGACUUUGAUGAAACCUUCAGUCCUGUUGUUAAACCUGCCACUAUUCGCAUUGUUCUCUCUCUUGCUAUCUCUCAAUCUUGGCCCAUACACCAGCUUGAUGUAAAAAAUGCCUUCCUCCAUGGCCAUCUUGAUGAAGUUGUCUAUAGUCAACAACCCUCUGGCUUUGUUGAUCCACGUCACCCCACUUAUGUGUGUCGUCUUCUUAAAUCUCUAUAUGGUUUAAAACAAGCUCCCCGCGCAUGGUUUCAGCGGUUUGCCACCUUUGCGCGCUCCAUUGGGUUCGUUGAAUCCAAAUCCGAUGCCUCUCUUUUCAUUUUUCACCAGGGCACCAACUUAGCAUAUCUCCUUCUUUAUGUCGAUGACAUCAUUCUUACUGCCUCCACCCCAUCUACUCUUGCUACUAUCACACAUGCCAUGGCACGUGAAUUUGCUAUGAAGGAUCUUGGCCCCCUACAUCACUUCCUUGGCAUUUCUGUUACACGUACUUCUAGCAGCCUCCACCUCUCUCAACGAAACUACAUUCUUGACAUCUUGAAUCGUGCAGGCAUGCGUGAUUGUCAUCCCGUCCCUACACCUAUUGAUACCAAAGCAAAACUCUCCUCCACAUCUGGGUCCCCUGUUUCCGAUCCUUCUCAGUAUCGUAGCUUAGCUGGCGCACUACAAUAUGCUACACUCACUCGUCCCGACACUGCUUACGCCGUGCAACAAGUAUGUCUCCAUAUGCACGAUCCACGAGAACCCCAUUUCUCUCUCAUAAAAUGCAUUCUCCGCUAUCUUCAUGGCACUCUCGACCUUGGUCUUUCUCUGCAUCGCACUUCUUCUCACUCUCUCAUUGCCUACUCGGAUGCCGACUGGGCUGGUUACCCGGACACACGACGCUCUACGUCUGGAUUUUGCAUGUACCUCGGUGAUAAUCUCAUUUCUUGGUCCGCACAACGACAAACGACCGUCUCCCGCUCUAGUGCCGAGGCAGAGUACAGGGCAGUAGCUGCGGCUGUUUCAGAGUCAUGUUGGGUUCGGCAGCUCCUACAGGAACUUCGACGGCCGAUCUCGACUGCCACAAUUGUCUACUGUGAUAAUGUCAGUGCCGUCUACUUGUCUGCCAACCCCGUUCAGCAUCGACGGACCAAGCAUAUUGAGCUGGAUAUUCACUUUGUUCGGGAGAAGGUCGCCCUAGGAGACGUGCGCGUUUUACAUGUACCCUCGUCCUCGCAGUUCGCGGACAUUUUCACGAAGGGUUUGCCUACUACUCUUUUUCAAGAGUUUCGCUCCAGUCUUCAGGUCGAGAGCUCUCCCGGUUCAGACUGCGGGGGCGUGUUAGAGUCAGAUCCUCCGACGGAGCCGCAUAGUAAUGAACAACGUGGAGUGCAAGUCAAGCAGCUACCAAAUAGAUAGUUUCCAUCUCUGUUGGUCUAUUCGUAUUGUAUACAAACUCUGUAAUUUCUGGAUGCAUAUAUAUACGAGGAGGCUGUACCAUGGCUGGCAUUGAGCCGCCCGGUGUAUUCCAAUUUACACUGUCAUCAAAAACGUUAAGCGUGCGGACCCUACGGGUUCGAGAACUAUGUAGACAUGACCUAAAACCAUUCUCGGUCAAUAACCAAUAGCGUGACCUGGAUGCCCAUAUUGGUUCCUACAUAUUCUACGAAGAUCUUUAUCGGUCAAACCGCAUAACAACAUACUUUGUUCCCUUUGUCAUCGGUAUGUUACUUGCCCGAGAUUUGAUCGUCGGUAUCCAAUACCUAGUUCAAUCUCGUUACCGGCAAGUCUCUUUACUCAUUUCGUAAUAUGUCAUCUCAUAACUAACUCAUUAGUUACAUGCUUGCAAGGCUUAGGUGAUGAGUAUUACCAAGAGGGCCCAGAGAUACCUCUCCGACAAUCGGAGUGACAAAUCCUAAUCUCGAAUUAUGCCAACCCAACAUGUACCUUCGGAAACACCUGUAGAGCACCUUUAUAAUCACCCAGUUACGUUGUGACGUUUGGUAGCACACAAAGUGUUCUUCCGGUAAACGGGAGUUGCACAAUCUCAUAGUUGCAGGAACUUUGUAUAAGUCAUGAAGAAAGCAAUAGCAGUAUACUAAACGAUCAAGUGCUAGGCUAACAAAAUGGGUCAUGUCAAUCACAUCAUUCUCCUAAUGAUGUGAUCCCACUAAUCAAAUGACAACACAUGUCUAUGGUCAGGAAACAUAACCAUCUUUGAUUAAUGAGCUAGUCAAGUAGAGGCAUACUAGUGACUAUAGUUUUGUCUAUGUAUUCACAUAUGUAUCAUGUUUCCAGUUAAUACAAUUCUAGCAUGAAUAAUAAACAUUUAUCAUGAUAUGAGGAAAUAAAUAAUAACUUUAUUAUUGCCUCUAGGGCAUAUACCACUUGCACUAGAGUCAAUAAUCUAGAUUACAUAGUAAUGAUUCUAACACCCAUGGAGUCUUGGUGCUGAUCAUGUUUUGCUCGUGAGAGAGGCUUAGUCAACGGGUCCGCAACAUUCAGAUCCGUAUGUAUCUUGCAAAUCUCUAUGUCUCCCACUUGGACUUGGUUCCGAAUGGAAUUGAAGCGUCUCUUGAUGUGCUUGGUCCUCUUGUGAAAUCUGGAUUCCUUUGCCAAAGCAAUUGCACCAGUAUUGUCACAGAAGAUCUUCAUUGGUCCCGAUGCACUAGGUAUGACACCUAGAUCGGAAAUGAACUCCUUCAUCCAGACUCCUUCAUUUGCUGCUUCAGAAGCAGCUAUGUACUCCGCUUCACAUGUAGAUCCCGCCACGACGCUUUGUUUAGAACUGCACCAACUUACAGCUCCAUCGUUUAAUAUAAACACGUAUCCGGUUUGCGAUUUAGAAUCGUCCGGAUCAGUGUCAAAGCUUGCAUCGACGUAACCAUUUACGACUAGCUCUUUGUCACCUCCAUAUACGAGAAACAUAUCCUUAGUCCUUUUCAGGUAUUUCAGGAUGUUCUUGACCGCUGUCCAGUGAUCCACUCCUGGAUUACUUUGGUACCUUCCUGCCAAGCUUAUUGCUAAGCAUACGUCAGGUCUGGUACACAGCAUUGCAUACAUGAUAGAGCCUAUGGCUGAAGCAUAGGGAACAUUUUUCAUUUUCUCUCUAUCUUCUGCUGUGGUCGGGCAUUGAGUUUGACUCAACUUCACACCUUGUAGCACAGGUAAGAAUCCUUUCUUUGCCUGAUCCAUUUUGAACUUUUUCAAAAUCUUGUCAAGGUAUGUGCUUUGUGAAAGUCCUAUUAAGCGUCUUGAUCUAUCUCUAUAGAUCUUGAUGCCCAAUAUGUAAGCAGCUUCACCGAGGUCUUUCAUUGAAAAACUUUUAUUCAAGUAUCCCUUUAUGCUAUCCAGAAAUUCUAUAUCAUUUCCAAUUAAUAAUAUGUCAUCAACAUAUAAAACUAGAAAUGCUACAGAGCUCCCACUCACUUUCUUGUAAAUACAGGCUUCUCCAAAAGUCUGUAUAAAACCAUAUGCUUUGAUCACACUGUCAAAGUGUUUAUUCCAACUCCGAGAUGCUUGCACCAGUCCAUAAAUGGAACGCUGGAGCUUGCACACUUUGUCAGCACCUUUUGGAUCAACAAAACCUUCCGGCUGCAUCAUAUACAACUCUUCUUCUAGAAAUCCAUUCAAGAAUGCAGUCUUGACAUCCAUUUGCCAAAUUUCAUAAUCAUGAAAUGCAGCAAUAACCAACAUGAUUCGGACAGACUUAAGCAUCGCUACGGGUGAGAAAGUCUCAUCGUAGUCAACCCCUUGAACUUGUCAAAAACCUUUCGCAACAAGUCGAGCUUUAUAGACAGUAACAUUACCAUCAGCGUCAGUCUUCUUAAAAAUCCAUUUAUUCUCAAUGGCUUGCCGAUCAUCGGGCAAGUCAACCAAAGUCCAUACUUUGUUUUCAUACAUGGAUCCCAUCUCAGAUUUCAUGGCCUCUAGCCAUUUUGCGGAAUCUGGGCUCAUCAUCGCUUCCUCAUAGUUCGUAGGUUCAUCAUGGUCAAGUAACAUGACUUCCAGAAUAGGAUUACCGUACCACUCUGGUGCGGAUCUUACUCUGGUAGACCUACGAGGUUCAGCAGAAACUUGAUCUGAAGUUUCAUGAUCAAUAUCAUUAGCUUCCUCACUAGUUGGUGUAGUUGUCACGGGAACCGGUUCUCGUGAUGAACUACCUUCCAACAAGGGAGUAGAUACAGUUAUCUCAUCAAGUUCUACUUUCCUCCCACUCACUUCUUUCGAGAGAAAUUCCUUCUCUAGAAAGGAUCCAUUCUUAGCAAUGAAUGUCUUGCCUUCGGAUCUGUGAUAGAAGGUGUACCCAACAGUCUCUUUUGGGUAUCCUAUGAAGACACAUUUCUCCGAUUUGGGUUCGAGCUUAUCUGGUUGAAGUUUCUUCACAUAAGCAUCGCAGCCCCAAACUUUAAGAAACGACAACUUCGGUUUCUUGCCAAACCACAGUUCAUAAGGCGUCGUCUCAACGGAUUUUGAUGGUGCCCUAUUUAACGUGAAUGCGGCCGUCUCUAAAGCAUAACCCCAAAAUGAUAGUGGUAAAUCGGUAAGAGACAUCAUAGAUCGCACCAUAUCAAGUAAAGUACGAUUACGACGUUCGAACACACCAUUUCGUUGUGGUGUUCCAGGUGGCGUGAGUUGCGAAACUAUUCCGCAUUGUUUCAAAUGUAAACCAAACUCGUAACUCAAAUAUUCUCCUCCAUGAUCAGAUCGUAGAAACUUUAUUUUCUUGUUACGAUGAUUUUCUACUUCACUCUGAAAUUCUUUGAACUUUUCAAAUGUUUCAGACUUGUGCUUCAUUAAGUAGAUAUACCCAUAUCUGCUCAAAUCAUCUGUGAAGGUGAGAAAAUAACGAUAUCCGCCACGAGCCUCAACAUUCAUUGGACCACAUACAUCUGUAUGUAUGAUCUCCAACAAAUCUGUUGCUCUCUCCAUAGUUCCGGAGAACGGUGUUUUAGUCAUCUUGCCCGUGAGGCACGGUUCGCAAGUACCAAGUGAUUCAUAAUCAAGUGAUUCCAGAAGUCCAUCAGUAUGGAGUUUCUUCAUGCGUUUUACACCGAUAUGACCUAAACGGCAGUGCCACAAAUAAGUUGCACUAUCAUUAUCAACUCUGCAUCUUUUGGCUUCAACAUUAUGAAUAUGUGUAUCACUACUAUCGAGAUUCAAUAAAAAUAGACCACUCUUCAAGGGCGCAUGACCAUAAAAGAUAUUACUCAUAUAAAUAGAACAACCAUUAUUCUCUGAUUUAAAUGAAUAACCAUCUCGCAUCAAACAAGAUCCAGAUAUAAUGUUCAUGCUCAACGCAGGCACCAAAUAACAAUUAUUCAGGUCUAAAACUAAUCCCGAUGGUAGAUGUAGAGGUAGCGUGCCGACCGCGAUCACAUCGACUUUGGAACCGUUUCCCACGCGCAUCGUCACCUCGUCCUUGGCCAGUGCUCGCUUAUUCCGCAGUCCCUGUUUCGAGUUGCAAAUAUUAGCAACAGAACCAGGUUCAAAUACCCAGCUGCUACUACGAGCUCUAGUUAGGUACACAUCAAUAACAUGUAUAUCACAUAUACCUUUGUUCACUUUGCCAUCCUUCUUAUCCGCCAAAUACUUGGGGCAGUUCAGCUUCCAGUGGCCAGUCUGCUUGCAGUAGAAGCACUUAGUUUCAGGCUUAGGUCCAGACUUGGGUUUCUUCUCUUGAGCAGCAACUUGCUUGCCGUUCUUUUUGAAGUUCCCCUUCUUCUUCCCUUUGCCCUUCUUCUUGAAACUAGUGGUCUUGUUGACCAUCAACACUUGAUGCUCCUUCUUGAUUUCUACCUCCGCGGCUUCAGCAUCGCGAAGAGCUCGGGAAUAGUCUUGUUCAUCCCUUGCAUAUUAUAGUUCAUCACGAAGCUCUUGUAGCUUGGUGGCAGUGAUUGAAGAAUUCUGUCAAUGACACUAUCAUCAGGAAGAUUAACUCCCAGUUGAAUCAAGUGAUUGUUAUACCCAGACAUUUUGAGUAUAUGUUCACUGACAGAACUAUUCUCCUCCAUCUUGCAGCUAUAGAACUUAUUGGAGACUUCAUAUCUCUCAAUCCGGGCAUUUGCUUGAAAUAUUAACUUCAACUCCUGGAACAUCUCAUAUACUCCAUGACGUUCAAAACGUCGUUGAAGACCCGGUUCUAAGCCGUAAAGCAUGGCACACUGAACUAUAGAGUAGUCAUCAGCUUUGCUCUGCCAGACGUUCUUAACGUCGUCAGUUGCAUCAGCAGCAGGCCUGGCACCCAGCGGUGCUUCCAGGAUGUAACUCUUCUGUGCAGCAAUGAGGAUAAUCCUUAGGUUACGGACCCAGUCCGUGUAAUUGCUACCAUCAUUUUUCAACUUUGCUUUCUCAAGGAACGCAUUAAAAUUCAACGGAACAACAGCACGAGCCAUCUAUCUACAAACAAACAUAGACAAGCAAGAUACUAUCAGGUACUAAGUUCAUGAUAAAUUUAAGUUCAAUUAAUCAUAUUACUUAAGAACUCCCACUUAGACAGACAUCUCUCUAGUCAUCUAAGUGAUCACGUGAUCCAAAUCAACUAAACCAUAACUGAUCAUCACGUGAUAUGGAGUAGUUUUCAAUGGUGAACAUCAUUAUGUUGAUCAUAUCUACUAUAUGAUUCAUGAUCGACCUUUUGGUCUCCGUGUUUCGAGGCCAUAUCUGCAUAUGCUAGGCUCGUCAAGUUUAACCUGAGUAUUCUGCGUGUGCAAAACUGGCUUGCACCCGUUGUAGAUGGACAUAGAGCUUAUCACACCCGAUCAUCACAUGGUGUCUCGGCACGACGAACUUUGGCAACGGUGCAUACUCAGGGAGAACACUACUUGAUAAUUUUAGUGAGAGAUCAUCUUAAAAUGCUACCGUCAAUCAAAUCAAGAUAAGAUGCAUAAAGGAUAAACAUCACAUGCAAUCAAUAUAAGUGAUAUGAUAUGACCAUCAUCAUCUUGUGCUUGUGAUCUCCAUCUCCGAAGCACCGUCGUGAUCACCAUCGUCACCGGCGCGACAUCUUGAUCUCCAUCGUAGCAUCGUUGUUGUUUACGCCAUCUAUUGCUUCUACGACUAUCGCUACCGCUUAGUGAUAAAGUAAAGCAAUUACAGGGCGUUUGCAUUUCAUACAAUAAAGCGACAACCAUAUGGCUCCUGCCAGUUGCCGAUAACUUCGGUUACAAAACAUGAUCAUCUCAUACAAUAAAAUAUAUCAUCACGUCUUGACCAUAUCACAUCACAACAUGCCCUGCAAAAACAAGUUAGACGUCCUCUACUUUGUUGUUGCAAAUUUUACGUGGCUGCUACGGGCUUAGCAAGAACCGUUCUUACCUACGCAUCAAAACCACAACGAUAGUUUGUCAAAUAGACUCCGUUUUAACCUUCGCAAGGACCGGGCGUAGCCACACUCGAUUCAGCUAAAGUGAGAGAGACAGACACCCGCCAGUCACCUUUAAGCACGAGUGCUCGUAACGGUGAAAUCAGUCUCGCGUAAGCGUACGCGUAAUGUCGGUCCGGGCCGCUUCAUCUCACAAUACCGCUGAACCAAAGUAUGACAUGCUGGUAGGCAGUAUGACUUAUAUCGUCCACAACUCACUUGUGUUCUACUCGUGCAUAUAACAUCAACGCAUAAAACCUAGGCUUUGAUACCACUGUUGGGGAACGUAGUAAUUUCAAAAAAAAAUCCUACGCACACGCAAGAUCAUGGUGAUGGCAUAGCAACGAGAGGGGAGAGUGUAUGUCCACGUACCCUCGUAGACCGUAAGCGGAAGCGUUAGCACAACGCGGUUGAUGUAGUCGUACGUCUUCACGAUCCGACCGAUCCAAGCACCGAACGUACGGAGCCUCCGAGUUCAGCACACGUUCAGCUCGAUGAUGUCCCUCGAACUCCGAUCCAGCCGAGUGUCGAGGGAGAGUUCCGUCAGCACGACGGCGUGGUGACGAUCUUGAUGUUCUACCGGCGCAGGGCUUCGCCUAAGCUUCGCGACGAUAUGACCGAGGUGGAAUAUGGUGGAAGGGGGCACCGCACACGGCUAAGGAACGAUCCGUAGAUCAACUUGUGUGUCUAUGGGCUGCCCCCCGCCCCCGUAUAUAAAGGAGCCAGGGGGGAGGAGGCCGCCGGCCUAGGGGGCGCGCCAAGGGGGGGAGUCCUACUCCCACCGGGAGUAGGACUCCCCUUUUCCAAGUUGGAGUAGGAGAGAAGGAGGAAAGAGGGGAGGAGGAGAAGGAAAAGGGGGGGCGCCGCCCCCUUUCCCUUGUCCUAUUCGGACUAGGAGGGGGAGGGGCGCGCGGCCCCCUCCUUGCUCCUUCCUCUUCUCCCUCUUGGCCCAUGUAGGCCCAUUAACCUCCCGGGGGGUUCCGGUAACCUCCCGGUACUCCGGUAAAAUGCCGUUUUCACCCGGAACCAUUCCGAUGUCCAAAUAUAGGCUUCCAAUAUAUCGAUCUUUAUGUCUCGACCAUUCCGAGACUCCUCGUCAUGUCCGUGAUCACAUCCGGGACUCCGAACAAACUUCGGUACAUCAAAACUUAUAAACUCAUAAUAAAACUGUCAUCGAAAACGUUUAGCGUGCGGACCCUACGGGUUCGAGAACUAUGUAGACAUGACCUAAAACCAUUCUCGGUCGAUAACCAAUAGCGUGACCUGGAUGCCCAUAUUGGUUCCUACAUAUUCUACGAAGAUCUUUAUCGGUCAAACCGCAUAACAACAUACUUUGUUCCCUUUGUCAUUGGUAUGUUACUUGCCCGAGAUUUGAUCGUCGGUAUCCAAUACCUAGUUCAAUCUCGUUACCGGCAAGUCUCUUUACUCGUUCCGUAAUACGUCAUCUCAUAACUAACUCAUUAGUUACAUGCUUGCAAGGCUUAGGUGAUGAGUAUUACCGAGAGGGCCCAGAGAUACCUCUCCGACAAUCGGAGUGACAAAUCCUAAUCUCGAAUUAUGCCAACCCAACAUGUACCUUCGGAAACACCUGUAGAGCACCUUUAUAAUCACUCAGUUACGUUGUGACGUUUGGUAGCACACAAAGUGUUCUUCCGGUAAACGGGAGUUGCACAAUCUCAUAGUUGCAGGAACUUUGUAUAAGUCAUGAAGAAAGCAAUAGCAGUAUAUUAAAUGAUCAAGUGCUAGGCUAACAAAAUGGGUCAUGUCAAUCACAUCAUUCUCCUAAUGAUGUGAUCCCACUAAUCAAAUGACAACACAUGUCUAUGGUCAGGAAACAUAACCAUCUUUGAUUAAUGAGCUAGUCAAGUAGAGGCAUACUAGUGACUAUAGUUUUGUCUAUGUAUUCACACAUGUAUCAUGUUUCUGGUUAAUACAAUUGUAGCAUGAAUAAUAAACAUUUAUCAUGAUAUGAGGAAAUAAAUAAUAACUUUAUUAUUGCCCCUAGGGCAUAUUUCCUUCACUAACUUCUCGACCGGUCAUCCAUCCCUCUCACUACUCCAGCCCGAGCACGCUUAACUUUCAGGUUCUAUUCUCCUUCGUUUCCGAGUCUGCACUUGUUGUUUUCCUGACAAUAGUAAGAUGUCAAUCCUAUUAACCCUCAGGAGUUUAGCUUGAGCAUGAAGUCACACAUUUCACCGUUUGAGUUUGAAACUAUUAUUCUAAAAAAACAGUAAUUAUUUAGUAACGCUAAUAUUUCUUGAAUAAGUUUGACCAUAGUUUGACCAUAGUUUGACCAGAUUUGACCAAAAUUCAAAAAAUUGAAAUAAUUAUUUAGUAACACUAAUAUUCUUUGAAUAAUUAAGUAGUAACACUAAUAUUUCUUGAAUAAGUAGUUUGACCAUAGUUUGACCAAAGUUUGACCAGAUUUGACCAAAAUUCAAAAAAACUGAGAUACUUAUUUAGUAACACUAAUAUUAUUACGUAAUUAUUUAGUAACACUCUAUAUUUCUUGAAUCAGUUGUUUGACCGGUUUGACAAGAUUUAACCAAAAUUCAAAAAAACAUAAAUUAGAGCAUAUCUUUUUUUCCUUUUACAAUUUUGUCAUUUCAAAAAUUGUCCUAAACCCUAAACCCGGGACUUAAAACAUCGGAAUCUCUAUGCUAAAUAGUAAAAACUAAGGGUUUAAACCAUAAAACCUAACCCCAAACUCUGAAAUCUAAACCCUAGCACUAAACGCUAAAAACGUCUAAAAACGUCCAAAACGCCCAAAAACUCUAUUUUCCCUUUGGAAUUUUGUGAUUUUCAAAAAUUGUCGAAACGGAAAACUGGCUAGCCAAUCGAGCAGUUACCAGUUAACGAUUUCCUCAACAAUGGUUGUAAGAGAACUCCGCAUACGGUAGACUUUUAUCCCAACUAGUACCAUACUGCAAUGCACAAGCUCUCAACAUAUCUUCAAGAAUUUGAUUGAGCCUUUCUGUCUGUCCAUCAGUCUGAGCAUGAUAUGUUGUACUGAAAUUCAACUUCGUUCCCAAAGAUUUAUGCACUUUCUGCCAAAAGAUGGACGUGAACUGCGUACCUCUAUCAGACACAAUCUUCUUAGGAACUCCAUGCUGACAUACUAUUCUUUCCAUGUAUAGCUCUGCCAAUCUUGCCCCGCUAUAAGUAGUCUUGACAGGCAAAAAGUGAGCGACUUUAGUGAGACGAUCCACUAUUACCCAUAUAGAAUCAUAACCUUGUUGAGUGUGUGGUAAUCCCACUAUAAAGUCCAUUCCGACUUCUUCCCAUUUCCACUCAGGAAUCUUCAUUGGUUGCAACAAACUAGCGGGUCUCUGAUGCUCAGUCUUUACCCUCUGACAAGUGUCACAUAUAGCUACAUACUCAGCCACAUCUCUUUUCAAUCCAUACCAGCAGUAAUUCUCCUUAAGAUUUAGAUACAUCUUAGUACUUCCAGGAUGGAUAGAAUAGGCCAACUCAUGUGCUUCACGCAAAAUUGUAUCAUGAAUGGCUUUCACCUCAGGCACACAUAUCCUUUUCACAAAACAUAAGGUUCCAUUCUCAUCUAUUAUGAAGCCAGGUGCUUUACCAAUCACCACAUUCUCAGCUAUCUCCUUUAGCUUUUCAUCUUCUAGCCAACCCUUACGUAUUUCUUGCUCCAACGUAGGAAUCACUUUUAUCUCCAUAGCACUAGCAACAAUACCAAGAUUCAGAUGUUGCAACUCCGCAUACAACUCUUCUGCCUCUGGUCUCAACUUACGAUUGUUGUCAUAUUUCUUCCUACUAAGAGCAUCAGCUACAACAUUCGCCUUACCUGGAUGAUAAUGUACCUCCGGUUCAUAAUCCUUGAUUAACUCUAGCCCGCGAAGUUGUCUUAAAUUCAAACAUGUCUGAGUGAAUAUAUACUUCAAGCUCUUAUGAUCGGUGUAGAUAUCACUCUUGUGACCAAUCAGAUAGUGUCUCCAGAUCUUCAAUGCAUGCACCGCAGCUGCUAGCUCCAGAUCACGAGUAGGAUAAUUUAACUCAUGCUUCCUCAACUGUCUCGAUGCAUGCGUCGGUGGUGGUGACCUCAUGUCCGCUUGCACCGUGUUCGAUGAAACGCCAACGAGGGUCAAAAGCUUCAAACCGCAUCGGCAUCGCUCGGGUACACGCUGGAGUGCUGGAUGUGAUGCUUGGCCAUCUCCAACUCACGAGCGUGUAAGAGAGAAAUCAUGAGACAGUAAUGAUUUACUUUGGUUUUGCAAUGUUUUUAUUUUAAAAAUAGUUGGUUUAUCUUUGUAAAAUAGUUAUUUACAUGAGAAUUAUUGAACAAAAUAGUUUUUAAAGAGCAAUUUGCAUUCAAGCAGUCUUCAUUCUUAACGAAGCUACGAGUUCACAUUUGCUCUAACCAAAAGGUCUUCAGUUUUUGCCACCACAGGAGCCUUGUAUUAGCUCUUGCGGUGCGAACGGGAGCUCGGAUGUCCGUGCGACUAAGCUGAUCUAUGAAAGUGGCCUUGGUGAUCCUGUGCCCCGGUUGGUAGGUUGGGAGACAGCAGGGAUGCAAACCAGCGCCAACGAUGGGCGAAGAUUGCACGACGGAUGAGCGGCGCUAGAGAUGGAAAAUCUGCUGGAGCAGUUUAGGUGAAAGGAUAAAGAUGUAGUUUUCAUUUUUUUUUCUAAUAAUGAAAGUCAGACUCACUGUAAAGAUCGACGUGGGCUUAACUUUAUGGAACUGGGCCUUAUGACACGUAGGGCCCAUCUGAAGCUUCUAGAGGUGUUAAUCCUGUGGUUGAGAAUGUGUGUGACAAAGCCUGUGUUUGAAGGCAAGAAUCGCAGGGGUGAUUGGGAAGAACACUAAACAGGACAAUUUACAGUACAACAUGAGCAUCUCCAUUAAAAGGCAGCACUUUUCUUUAUCCAAUGUUAGUACUUAGCUAAAGUGAUGAUAACUUUUACUAUGUAUAGAUUGAUAACUUGAUUAAUUCAUGCAGUAUAACAUUCUUGUAGACUGAAAAAUGUACCUUUUUUGCAAUGCAUCUUCCAUUGUAUGAGAGAAUGAUUUUUGUGGUUAAUAAAGGUUCCUCUCUCCUUUAUUUUGUCUUUAUUUUUACAUGGUAGAACAGAAAAUCCGUGUUUAGUGUAGCAAGGGAAUGGGGUAUUUUUUUGGGUACUCUGUUUUGUUGCAUGAAGCUGGUAACAAAAACUACGGGGGGCUGGUAAUUUUUGCACUUAGUUGAUUGGUAACUCACUGCAAUAGGCAAAAUUAUGUUUUCUAGUGGUGAAAGGAUGGUAAUUUUUGCACAGAUUGGGAGGGGGGUCUGGUGGGCGUGGGGUAAGUCUUUGUAUUAAGCAGAAUUUUUUUGGAGAUCUUUGGAUGAGUCUUUGAUUCUUACCAGGGUGAGGUGAUGUUGCCUGGUGAUUUCCUCGCCGUAUCCCUGGUAAUUUCCAGCGCUCCCCUGAUGGAUCUGCUCUUGUUUGAUCCAGAUCUAGAGGAGGGGUAGGUCUUUGCUGUUGAUUUUGAGCAGCUNNNNNNNNNNNNNNNNNNNNNNNNNNNNNNNNNNNNNNNNNNNNNNNNNNNNNNNNNNNNNNNNNNNNNNNNNNNNNNNNNNNNNNNNNNNNNNNNNNNNNNNNNNNNNNNNNNNNNNNNNNNNNNNNNNNNNNNNNNNNNNNNNNNNNNNNNNNNNNNNNNNNNNNNNNNNNNNNNNNNNNNGAGGGUAUACUUGCGUGGAAGGUAGGGGGGGGGGGAAGUUGCGAUCUGGAAAUUGCUGUCGUGGGGGGAUGGCAUUUUCUGUUGGGCCUUGUACAGCGAUUGGCCUUGUUAGCUAACAGGGUGGUCGGCCUGUUUAGCUGGCGGGGUGGCGGGUGAUCGACAGGUAAGGUAAGUUUUCUAUCGGGCACACUGUUGCCAAAUAUCGCUGUCCAUAAACUAUAUGUCCAAUACUUGCACUCACGGGCAUUUUUGCUACUAUUAAUAAAUUGGUAAAAAUCAGAGAAUGCGAGGCCUGGCCAAAUGGGCCGGCCCGGCCUGGGUUAAACGGGCCCGAACCCCUCUUGCCCUCUCUCCUAUAAAAGCUGUGCUUUUACCCCCGCACUCCAUCGCCUCGCCGCCGUUCCCCGCAACACCCUGUCGACCCAAUCUCACAUCCUCCUCUCGCCCGCCCGAGGUGAGCACUUGUAGUUCCUCUGGAUUGGUUGGUAGGCGCUGGUUCGUAGGUCUCGGAUCCAGCCAGCGUGGUCUCCCUCCGCGUGCAUCCGGAGUUUCUCGUUCCGAUUGUGGUUGGUAGGCGCGGCGCGGCGCGGGUUCAUAGGUGUCGGAUCCAGCGCCGUCUGUAUCCUAUUCGUAUGUGGAACCUCGGCUAGGAUAGGAUUUAAUUAGUUAGGUUUUGUAUUAGGGUAACACCACCUAGGGUUCGAUUGAUUAUCCGUAACAAGGAAUCAAUCUGACGUUUUAGUUAGGGUUUGCUUGGUUGGUUGUGGUCAGAUUUUGGUUUCUCAUGAAUUCUUCAACUGUGCCUGUCGCGAUUUUGGGCGGAAAUUGAUGAUUGAUUUCGGGGGCAAAAUCCGAGGUAAUUUGUGGAUGAAAGAUGGGGAAACUUGGGGAAACCAAGCAAAUCCAUGGAUCAAAAUCAACAAAACUUCAUCAUGCCAACAAAUCACAAAAAAAAUUUGGUGGGGAAAUUUCGAAUUAGGACGAAAAACAACAAGAUCAAAGCUAGAAAACGAAUAUUAAUUUGGAUGGAAUUCAUGCUAUGUUGUUCGAUUUCAGUUUAUGCCUGCCAGAAUGUUUAAUUUUUUGUUUUAUCAACUGUGUUUGAGCGUACUAGAUUUUUUGUUGCAUAUUCAUCUUCUUGCUCUGUUUGGAUAGGUAACAAUUAAUAUUUGGGAUCCUAAAAUAUUUAUGCACUGGCAGCACUUAACCUGCAGCUGCUGAUUAAUGUUGUAUUCAUAUGUGCUGCUUUCCAGCUCUCUUGUUUCGAUAGGUAUUUGGUUAUCGUUUGGGUCUAUUUAUUAUCGUUUGUAAAUGCUGGUUUGGUUUUCUGUGCUCACUAUCCCCUUGCACAUGGGAUGCAAUUUUUUUAUUUCCCUGCUGUUUAGUUUAUUGUUUCCUUUGAUGGUAAAGAGGCAUUAAUUCUGGAGAUAGAUGCAAUUUUCUUGCUCACAAUAAUACAAUGAAUGAUGGCAUCUCUAUCUACUUUAACCAAAUUAUAUCAUAUUCCCCCCUCUGUUAAUUAUUUUUCUGUUUUGGGUAUUCAUUCAUUUUGUUUAGUUGCCUAUCAGUAUAAAUACAUGGCUGCAUUGCUUUCACUUCAUAUUAAUAACUAUUCUGUCGCACAAUGCAAAUAUACAUAUGCUGUCCUAACUAAUUAAGUAGAAGCUUGGAUUGGUGCUGUAUGGUCUCUUCCUGACAUUAAAUCCUCCUCUGUUUGUGCUGUCUGUUUCUGCUGCUGCAGUCUUCUUCGCCGCCAAAAGGAAAUGAUGCUCUACAAAAUCCGCUCCCAUGCCCAAAUCCAAGACCUGCAGGCCCGCUCCGAUGAGCUGGGCCUCUCCAAUAAGUCCAUGCUUGUGAGUCUUGUCUCUCUGGAGUCGGUGCGCAUAGCGUGGGAGUCGUAUGCGCUCCUCCGCCCGCUGAUCAAGGAGUCGUGGAUUUGGGUAUGCCCGCAGCUGGAAAUCCUCUCGGACGUGGCAGGCUUGUCGCUGGAAAUCCAAAAGCUCGAGCAUGAUGUGUUACCCCAGCUCAAGCUUCAGGAGGCUAAGCUGGAAAGGGGCGCCCUGGAAGCCCUCCUACUCAUGAAGAACUCAGCUGUUGCGCUCUUACAUUUGAGGAAGUGCUUUAAGGAAGACUUGGGCGUAUUGCUUGCCAAGGAGGAUCUGGUCUCAGCCAAAGUCAAAAGGCUGAGCAAAAUGCUAAAGUAUAUUGCUGUCCGGUUGCUUCAGGAGCGUGAAUGCAACAUUGUCGGGCUUCAGGAGCGUGUCCGGUUGCUGGUCCAGCUGGUCACCGAGGUGUUGAACACCCCGGUUCAUUUCGAUGAUUCUGAUGAGUCUUCUGAUGAGUCUUCUGAUGAGUAGACUUAUCAGCCAGCUCGAGACUGUUGUGAUGAGUGUUUCUUAGGGGCGUGGCAAACAGUUUAGAAUCGAAUGUUGCGAUGUAUUUCUUGUAACCUCCUUUAUGUUUGGAUGUGUUAUUAAUGGAUUUUAAAUUUUAUGUAUUUUGGGUAGUGUUUUCUCAUUCUGUGCUAGUAGGUACAGUCACAUGGAGGUAUUCGCUCUUUUUGGGGAAUAUAUGCCAAAAGAAUAUACUCCCUCCGUUCUUAAAUAUUUGUCUUUCUAGAGAUUU
rnacentral:lncRNA from 1 species